rnacentral:lncRNA from 1 species
UUCAUGCACCUUUGGUAUGUUGCACCCUCAUUCCUCAAACCGAAUGGCAUAGUAAUGUAGCAGUACAUGCCAAAGGGUGUGAUGGAAGAAGUCGCGAGCUGGUCGGACUCUUUCAUCCUGAUUUGGUGAUACCCUGAGUAGGCAUCGAGGAAAGACAGGGUUUCGCACCCAGCAGUGGAAUCCACGAUUUGAUCAAUGCGAGGCAAAGGGUAGGGAACCUUCGGAGAUGCUUUGUUUAGACCAGUGUAGUCUACACACAUCCGCCAUUUCCCUCCUUUCUUUCUCACAAGCACAGGGUUGGCAAGCCAUUCGGGAUGGAAUACCUCUUUGAUGAACCCUGCAACCAUUAGCUUAUGGAUCUCCUCGCCUAUGGCUCUGCGCUUUUCUUCGUCGAAUCGGCGCAGAGGCUGCUUCACGGGUCGGGCUCCAGCUCGGAUAUCCAGCGAGUGCUCGGCGACAUCCCUCGGUAUGCCAGGCAUGUCCGAGGGGCUCCACGCAAAAACUUCGGCGUUUGCGCGGAGAAAGUCGACGAGCACUGCUUCCUAUUUGGGGUCGAGCUCGGAGCCGAUCCGGAUCUACUUGGAGGCGUCGUUGCUGGGGUCGAGAGGGACGGACUUAACCGUCUCAGCUGGCUCGAAGUUGCCGGCGUGGUGCUUCGCAUCUGGCGCCUCCUUGGAGAGGCUCUCCAGGUCGGCGAUGAGGGCCUAGGAUUCGGCGAGGGCCUCGACGUACUCCACGCACUCCACGUCGCAUUCGUACGCGUGUCGGUACGUGGAGCCGACGGUGAUGACCCCGUUGGAGCCUGACAUCUUGAGCUUGAGGUAGGUGUAGUUGGGGACAGCCAUGAACUUGGCGUACCAUGGCCUCCCCGGCACUGCGUGGUAGGUUCCUCGGAACCCGACCACCUCGAACGUGAGGGUUUCCUUUCGGAAGUUGGAGGGAGUCCCGAAGCAUACGGGCAGAUCGAGUUGCCCGAGGGGUUGGACGAGGGGAUGAUCCCGUGAAAAGGCGCCGCGCCGGCCCUGAUUGAGGACAGAUCGAUCUGCAGGAGCCCGAGGGUCUCGGCGUAGAUGAUGUUGAGGUUGCUGCCUCCAUCCAUGAGGACCUUGGCGAGCCUGACGUUGCCGAUGACGGGAUCGACAACGAGCGGGUACUUUCCUGGGCUCGGCACGCGGUCGGGGUGGUCACCCUGGUCGAAGGUGAUGGGCUUGUCCGACCAGUCUAGGUAGACUAGCGCCGCCACCUUUACCGAGCAGACCUCCCGGCGCUCUUGCUUGCGGUGCCGAGCCGAGGCGUUCGCCACAUGCCCACCGUAGAUCAUGAAGCAGUCGUGGACCUCGGGGAACUCCUCUGCCUUGUGAUCCUCCUUCUUAUCGUUGUUGUGGGCUCGGCCACAUUCCGCCGGUGGCCCGACCCUGUGGAAGUAGCGCCGAAGCAUGACGCACUCCUCAAGGGUGUGCUUGACGGGACCCUGAUGAUAGGGGCACGACUCCUUGAGCAUCUUGUCGAACAGGUUGGCGCCUCCGGGAGGCUUCCGAGGGUUCCUGUGCUCGGCGGCGGCGAUAAGGUCUGCGUCGGCGGCGUCGCGUUUCGCUUGUGACUUCUUCUUGCCCUUCUUCCUCUCUUCCGGCUGGCGCCCCUGAGGCUGCUUGUCCUUCCGGAAGAUGGCCUCGAUCGCCUCCUGACCAGAGGCGAACUUGGUGGCGAUGUCCAUCAGCUCGCUCGCCCUGGUGGGAGUCUUGCGACCCAGCUUGCUCACCAGGUCGCGGCAAGUGGUGCCGGCGAGGAAAGCGCCGAUGACGUCUGAGUCGGUGAUGUUGGCCAGCUCGGUGCGCUGCUUCGAAAAUCGCUGGAUGUAGUCCCUCAGGGACUCUCCCGGCUGCUGGCGGCAGCUUCGGAGAUCCCAGGAGUUUCCAGGGCGCACGUAUGUGCCCUGGAAGUUGCUGGGGAAGGAUUUGACCAGGUCGUCCCAGUUGGAGAUCUGCGCAGGAGGCAGAUGCUCCAGCCAGGCUCGGGCGGCGUUGGAGAGGAAUAGGGAAAGUUGCGGAUGAUGAGAUUGUCAUCGUCCGUCCCACCCAGUUGGCAGGCCAGCCGGUAGUCCGUGAGCCACAGCUCCGGCUUUGACUCCCCCGAGUACUUGGUGAUGGUAGUCGGGGUUCGGAACCGGGUCGGGAACGGUGCCCGUCGUAUGGCCCGGCUGAAAGCUCGCGGACCGGGUGGUUCGGGCGAGGGGCUCCGAUCCUCCCCGCUGUCGUAGCAUCCCCCAUGCCUGGGUGGUAGCCUCGGCGCACCUUCUCGUCGAGGUGGGCUCGACGGUCGCGGCGGUGGUGCUCGUUGCCGAGGCGACCCGGGGCCACAUGCGCUGAGUUCCGCGUUCGCCCCGUGUGGACCGAGGCUUCCCGCAUGAAUCGGGAAGCCGCGGCGCGAUGCUCCGGGGGGUACCCCUGCCUUCGGGAGGCAGAGCUCUCGGCCCGUUGGACCGCGGCAUCUUCCAGGAGAUUCUUGAGCUCUCCCUGGAUACGCCGCCCUCGGUGGUGGAUGGUUUCGGCAUCGCUCGGAGUAGUAUCGCUGCUGCAGCCAGGUUCUGGCCGACCCCACUGGAAGCCGGGGGCAGCCUUGCCCUGGCAUCGUCGGCGAUGCAGUGCUGGACGUCCUGGGCCAGAUGACGCGCUUCUCCGGCCGGUGCUCGGCCUGCCCACUCCUGCCCGAUAUUUUGCCGAAACUGCACAAGUUGUCCUGCUUCUUCGUCGAGCCUGGCCUGUACCUCGCGGAUUUGCUCGAGCUGUGCGUCCUGACCCCCCGCAGGGACUGGGACCAUAGCUAGCUCUCAAAGGAUGUCAACGCGAGGCGUAGGCCUAGGGGGAUCACCGUCCUCCGGCAUACCAAGAUGGUUGCCUUCGUCGAGACCCCCUAGAUCGACGUGAAAGCAUUCGCGACUUGGGCCACAGUCCUCGUCGCCGAGGCUAUGGCUGCUAUCGGAGCAAUCAGAGAGGCAGUAGUCACAUGCGGUCAUGAAGUCCCGCAUGGCACUGGGUUAUCGAGCCCGGAGAAAUCCCAACCAGAGUCGGGCUCGUCAUCUUCCUCGGAACCCAGAGGUCUGUAGGUCGAGACGGCCGUCAACCGGUCCCAGGGUGACUGCAUAUGAUACCCAGGAGGGUUUGGACAUGCCUUUAUGAAAGCGUCUACCGAAGCGGGGUCGCUUGGUGGGUCGCAGCUAAAUCUAAAAGGCAUGGGACGGGAAACGGACGGUACCUCUCGAUCGACGUGCGGUGACGAAGUCACGUCGGGGACGGACUGCACCGUUGUCUCAGGUACGAGGCUGACACCCAGCAAGUCCUUCGCGAGCGUGCUGGCGUCGUCCGUCUGCUUGGGGUUGGCAUGUUGCGGGGAAACGACGCUCGUCUUCGUCUCAGACGCGAUGUCAACGCCCGACGUGUCCCCCGUUGGGGCGCCGGCGCCGUCGACUCGCUCGACAGCCGACGAGGUGUCGCGUCCUGCUUGGCCAUGCCUGCCCCGCCUCCUCCUCUGUCGGCGGGGAAGGUGACGGGACAGACCCGGAUGUUGCUCUUCCGUCACGUGGGGAAGACGUCGUUAAUUCCGCCGCCGGCGGGCGGGCUGACGGCUGCCAUUGUCGUUGUCGCGCGGCGGAGGAAGGAGUAUCAUGUCGUAGCUGCCGUCGAGGGACAUGAACUCAAGACUCCCGAAACGAAGCAUCGUCCCGGGUUGGAGAGGUUGCUGGAGACAACCCAUCUGGAGCUUGACGGGAAGCUGUUCGUCAACACGCAGCAGGCCCCUACCUGGCGCGCCAACUGUCGGCGUUUCGACCCCGAGGGGUCCCUGGACCGACGAGUAAAUUGUCGCCGCGUGUCCUAGCCCAGAUGGGUCGGCGCGAGACGGAGCACGAAGGGGGGAAAACAGCAAAAAGGAAACCCGCGGCCUCCGUGUGUCCUGCGCCCAGGUUGGGUGCGCUUGCAGUAGGGGGUUACAAGCGUUCGCGUGGGAGAGUGAGAGAGGGAGAGACUGUCCGCUAUCGUCAAAAGGGCAUCGAUUCGUGUUAGUUACCACUGACUACUUUACUAAAUGGACUGAAGUCGUUGCUUUAAAGAACAUGACACACAGGGAGGUAAUUGAGUUCAUAACCGAGCAUAUCAUUCAUAGAUUCGGCACUCCUCAGACUUUGACGAUAGACCAAGGGGCUUUUUUUGUCAAAAGAGGUACGUGAAUUUGCUGAAUUAUAUAGGAUCAAAUUGCUCAAUUCAUCUCCAUGUUAUGCUCCGGCCAAUGGACAGACCGAGUCCAGUAAUAGAACAUUGAUUAACCUGAUAAAAAAGAAGAUAUCUGAUAAUCCUAAGCAGUGGCAUAAGAUUUUGUCCAAAGCUUUGUGGGCUCACAGAAUAUCUAAACACCGUGCUACUAAAGUGUCUCAUUUUAAUCCUAAGCAGUGUUGCUUGUGGAAAUAACUUUAAAUACUGUCUGGUUUGCCUAGCAAAAUGAUCUAACUGUCGGUGAUUAUUUGAAGCGCCCUAAUCCUCUAGGACUCAAAUGUGAUACAAUUACUAGUCUCAGGAGGCUAGUAAAAACAUUUAUACAUCAGAUAGUUCCAGAUCUGCUUAAACGAGACAACCAUAAAGGUGGCGAUCAACUUUAAGAGUUGGUCCACAACUCGGGACAUAUCAUCAAGUGGGGCUGAAGCAGCCCGAUAUACGCAGCGAAGCAUAUCAGCGGUCCAACAGCCAUAGGCAAGGUUGGGAACAUGCGUAACUCUUACCCGAUUAGUGAUCUCCUUCUCUAAAAAACAACAAAUAAGCAUGGGUGAGUACUUACGUACUCAGCAGCCCACCUUCACCCACGGAAUGGGGAAAUCAGAUAUAAUGCAUGGAGUAUGUGGAGCUCAGGAUAUUUUGCAGAAAGAGCAAUAUUUGAUGCAGGGUUAUUUUGUAAAACAUUUUAUAUUUUUCAAAGCACAUCCUCUCCCAAACGAGCAGGAAGUUUUUCAAUAUAGAGCAAAAUCCCCUGGACUAAACCAUCCAGGUAUCUCAGCAGUUUCCCACUGGUUUUCAUUUUCAAAAACAGCUACUGGACUUCCCGUCCACCAUAGCUCACGGCUCGACAGCAGAACCUUUUAAAACCACUUUUCAAAAGCAUUUCAUGGAAAACAAAACACUAAUUUUCAAAUCCAUGCCAUGACUCAUCCAUAUCCGUGGACAUGAACUAUUUGAAUAGGUUUUUAAACUCUAUGCAGAGGUGUACACUUUACCCACUAGUCCGGUUUCUGCAAUCUCACCGUCGUGAGAUCCAAAUGCCGAAUCUCUCUCUUUCCUUGCACGUCCUUUCCUUAGCGAUUAUAUCGGAAGGAACAAGGCCACCACCAUGCCCAAACCGGAUAAAACAUUCCCCUUCCUUAUCCUCCCGGUGCUCCCCAGCCGUCAUAUUCCUGGGGUUUGGACCGUACAAGUUCAGAUCAAGCGACUGCCCAUACAGUCUUGAGUGGUUGUACUUGAUAAGAGUAUAGGUAAGGAGUGAUGACAAAUUGGUCCUUAGGCGAGAGGGACAAUCCUUCAUGCUCACAACUAAACCAGCUGAGCCAUCACCUUAGGCCCUCCCCUAAACCAGGGAGUCCCUAAUCAUCCCGCUCAAAGGUGAUAAGGGUGACAACCCUUCAUCAUACCCAUUUUGAAAAACAUUUUCUUUUGAAAACUCACACCUUUUCUCAAAUCAUUUGUAACAAAUAUGUCAAGGAGUAUAAGGAUUAAUUGCGGCAAAGUUCUGAGGCUGGGUGGCCAUAAUAACUUGUCUCAAAAUCAUAUCAUGCAUAAAAUAACAGGCUGAGGGUUGUGGUUGAAAAAGCAUAUGUAAUUUACAUCAAAGGGAUCUAGUGAGCUUGCCGUUGCUUUAACCAGCGAAAGGGUGAGAGCUCGCGGAACUGGCUUCUGGCUCCACCAUCUGGCAUAGACUUCCAUAUCUGGCCUUCACGAGACGGCACGAACGCUCUGAUAACUACGCAACAUGAACAAGCAAACAUACAAACCAGCAAGAAUAUCAACAAAUAUUUAGUAUAGUGGUCAGAAAUAGCGAUAUAUGGAUGGGUAGAGUCUUGAGCAGAAUCUGUGUCAUGGGGUGUUGUGAUAUUACUGGUGGUGGAGCGGAGGUGCUUACCAGGAGGGUGGAUUGGAGGCGAAGCGACACUAUGCGUGUAGCCGGCGGAGCGGAGUAACUGAGUGGGUGGGGGUUUGCCUUGGCUGAGGGUGUUGAGUGUGUGGAGAGGGAGAGGAUAGCUGGGUGUAUUUAUGGAUGGGUGUAUGUGGUGUAGUACAAUAGAAUUCUCUGUUGGUGAGAACAGUGACGAAUGAAUUGUCUAACUUAGUAUGAACAGGAAAAUUAUAGGCAGAAUAUGGGACAAGAGUAUUUUGGGAGUUUUCUGGAAUAUGAACCAUGCUUAAGGGGUGACAUGGUUGGAAAGGGAAUAGUUUGGUAAGAAUUUAGAAACAAGAAUUAUUGGAAUUUGAGUUUAGAAGCCUGGUUCGAAAGAAUCCCAAAGUUAAGCGUGCUUAACUUGAAGAAAUCUGGGAUGGGUGACCAGAUGGAAAGUUCUUAGUGGAAGGAAAAUCACAGUCACCGAAGUUUGUAUGACUGGAAUAUUGGUCUGGCAGGUUUUAGGUGAGCUGGACAGCAUGAUGGAUGAGAAGUUGAAAUUUGGGGUGAUCGGAUGAUCGAUGAAUAGUAACAAUGAAUAGUAACGAUGAUGAAUAGUAAUCAUGAAUAGUAAUGGUGACUAGUUCGUAUGUGAGAGCACCUAGAGGGGGGGUGAAUAGGUGAUCCUGUAAAAACUUGAAACUUAUAGCCACAAAACUUGGUUAAGUGUUAGUAGGCUAAAUAGCGAGCUCUUGUGAACACAAGUAUCACAGAAAAGCAAUCACAAAAGACACGCGAGUUAUCCCGUGGUUCGGCCAAGUACAACACUUGUCUACCCCACGUUGUGGCGUCCCAAUGGACGAGGGUUGCACUCAACCCCUUUCAAGUGAUCCAAGGAUCCACUUGAAUACCAUGGUGUUUCUUUCUUUUCACUAUAUCCCGUUCGCGAGGAAUCUCCACAACUUGGAGCCUCUCGCCCUUACAAAUGAUGAUCACAAAGAAGCACAGAUGUAAGGGAGGGAAAAGCAACACACACAAGUCUCAAAAGCAACAGCUCAAACUCGCACACUAAUCACAACUUGAGCUCUAAGUUCACACACGGAGUUCUCAACUCAAGAGGAGCUCAAAUUGCUAUCACAAAGAAUCAAACGCGCUAGAAUGAAGACUUAGUGCUUAGAGAUGAUCAAAGAAUGCUUGGUGUACUCCUUCAUGCGCCUAGGGGUCCCUUUUAUAGUCCCAAGGCAGCUAGGAGCCGUUGAGAGCAAUCCAGGAAAGCAAAUCUUGCCUUCUGUCGACUGGUGCACCGGACAGUCCGGUGCACCACCGGACACUGUUCGGUGCAGAUUUCUUUCCUGUUCUGGCGCAGCCGACCGUUGACGAUUUGGAGCCGUUGGCGCACCGGACACUGUCCGGUGCACACCGGACAGUCCGGUGCCCCCAUCAGACCGUUGGCCCGGCCACGCGUCACGCGCGGAUUGCGCGGCCGACCGUUGGCUCACCGGACAGUCCGGUGCACCACAGGACAGUUUAGUGAUUUUUGGCCGUACGCCGCCAUCGAGUUCCCGAGAGCGGCCAGUUGAUCAGCGCCAGCCUGGCGCACCGGACACUGUCCGGUGCACCCAGACUGAGCAGAGCCUUGGCUGCUCGAGCCAAGUCUUUUCCAUUUGUGUUUUCUCUGAUUAUAGCACUUAGACAAAUAUGUUAGUACACAAAAACCAAUGUACUAAGUCUAGAAUCAUACCUUUGUAUUGAUUUGCACUUUGUCCACCAUUUGGCAUAGUUUAACACAUAACCAUUUGUGUUGGACACUUAAUCACCAAAAUACUUAGAAAUGGCCCAAGGGCACAUUUCCCUUUCAAUCUCCCCCUUUUUGGUGAUUUAUGCCAACACAACAAAAAGCAACAUAUAGAAGUGCAACAUCAAUGCAAAUGAGAACAAGAAUUUGUUUUGAUUCAAAUUUGGCAUAUUUGGAUCAUUCUUUGCCACCACUUGGUUUGUUUUUGCAAAUCAAACUCAAUUUCCUAUCUCUAAUUCAAAUUCACUUGUUGAGGCAUAGAGAGAGGUAUUCCAAGAGAAAUUGAUCAAAGAUUCAAAAACUCCCCCUUUUUCCCAUAAUCAACCAUUCUCCCCACAAGAGACCAAAUUUUGACAAUAAGAGACCAUAAGAGUAUUUUGCCAAAACAAAAACUCUACCUCUACUAUUUUCAAAAUUCUCAAGUGGUAGCUGAUCCAUUUCUUGCUUUGGCCUUAACUUCUCCCCCUUUGGCAUCAAGCACCAAAACGGGAUCAUAUUUGGCCCUUAAACCCCAUUGCCUCACCAAAAUCUUCAAAUAAGAGUAAAAGGCAAUAAGAGUAAGGAGAUGAACUUGGAGUAAGUUACCCUCUCAUCGGAGUGCAGUGGAAGUCUUUCAUGGUCCAAGUCCACCUUUCCCUUUCAAUAUGUCUUUGAGACUAAUUUAAGAACACUUAAGCACAUGGUUAGUCUCAAAGGAUCAAGUUGUAGCACAUCUCCCCCCUAAAUAUGUGCAUCACUCACACAUGGACUUUUGAGAUCCGGGGAUUGCGUUGUACAACUUGAUCACCAUAAUUAAGCAACAAAAUGCAUAAAAGGAACAUGAUCAAAGGCAUAAAACACAUGUAUGCUAUAAAUCAAUCCAAGUUCCGCGAAUCUAAGACAUUUAGCUCACUACGCAGCCUACAAAAGGUCUUCUCAUCUAGAGGCUUGGUAAAGAUAUCUGCUAGCUGGUUCUCGGUGCUAACAUAAAACACUUCGAUAUCUCCCUUUUGCUGGUGGUCUCUCAAAAUGUGAUGUCGGAUGUCUAUGUGCUUUGUGCGGCUGUGUUCAACAGGAUUAUCCGCCAUGCGGAUAGCACUCUCAUUAUCACAUAGGAGUGGGACUUUGCUCAGAUUGUAGCCAAAGUCCCGGAGGGUUUGCCUCAUCCAAAGUAGUUGCGCGCAACACUGUCCGGUGGCAACAUACUCGGCCUCAGCGGUGGAUAGGGCACCGGAAGUUUGUUUCAUAGAGCUCCAGGACACCAGGGACCUUCCUAAGAAUUGGCACGUCCCUGAUGUACUCUUCCUAUCAACCUUACAUCCAGCAUAAUCGGAGUCUGAAUAUCCAAUUUAGUCAAAGGUAGACCCCUUUGGAUACCAGAUCCCGAAGCAAGGCGUAGCGACUAAAUAUCUAAGAAUUCGCUUCACGGCCACUAAGUGACACUCCCUUGGAUCGGAUUGAAAUCUAGCACACAUGCAUACACUAAGCAUAAUAUCCGGUCUACUAGCACAUAAGUAAAGCAAGGAACCUAUCAUAGACCGGUAUGCUUUUUGAUCAACGGACUUACCUCCUUUGUUGAGGUCGACGUGUCCGUCAGUUCCCAUUGGAGUCUUUGCGGGCUUGGCAUCCUUCAUCCCAAACCGCUUGAUCAAGUCUUGCGUGUACUUCGUUUGGGAGAUGAAAGUGUCGUCCUUGAGUUGCUUCACUUGGAACCCAAGGAAGUAGUUCAACUCGCCCAUCAUUGACAUUUAAAACUUUUGAGUCAUCACCCUGCUAAACUCUUCACAAGACUUUUGGUUAGUAGAACCAAAUAUUAUGUCAUCGACAAAAAUUUGGCACACAAAUAAGUCACCAUCACAAGUCUUAGUGAAUAAAGUUGGAUCGGCUUUCCCAACCUUGAAAGCAUUAGCAAUUAAAAAGUCUCUAAGGCAUUCAUAUCAUGCUCUUGGGGCUUGCUUAAGUCCUUAGAGCGCCUUAGAGAGCUUACACACGUGGUCGGGGUACCGUUCAUCCUCGAAGCCAGGGGUUGCUCUACGUACACCUCCUCCUUGAUUGGCCCGUUGAGGAAAGCGCUCUUCACAUCCAUUUGGAACAACCUGAAAGAAUGGUGAGCGGCAUAGGCUAAUAAUAUGCGAAUUGACUCUAGCCUAGCCACAGGAGCAAAAGUCUCCUCAAAGUCCAAACCUGCGACUUGGGCAUAACCUUUUGCCACAAGUCGUGCCUUGUUCCUUGUCACCACCCCGUGCUCGUCCUGUUUGUUGCGGAACACCCACUUGGUUCCCACAAUGUUUUGCUUGGGACGUGGCACCAGUGUCCAAACUUCAUUUCUCUUGAAAUUGUUGAGCUCCUCCUGCAUGGCCAACACCCAGUCUCAAUAGAAGAGACAAAAGAGUAAUGCUCACAAAAAUUAACUAAUCUAAAUCGAGUAGUUACUCCCUUGCUAAUAUCACCCAAUAUCUGAUCGACGGGAUGAUUCCUUUGAAUCGUCGCUCGAACUUGAGUUGGAGGGGCAUGUUGUGCUUCUUCCUCCAUAACAUGAUCAUCUUGUGCUCCCCCUUGAUCACAUGCCUCUUCUGGAUGAACCUGUUCAUCGUCUUGAGUUGGGGGUUGUACCAUUGUUGAGGAAGAAGGUUGAUCUUGCUCCUUUUGUUCCUGUGGCCGCACAUCUCCAAUUGCCAUGGUGCGUAUUGCGGUCGUUGGAACGUCUUCUUCAUCUACAUCAUCAAGAUCAGCAACUUGCUCUCUUGGAGAGCCAUUAGUCUCAUCAAAUACAACGUCGCUAGAGACUUCAACCAAACCCGAUGAUUUGUUGAAGACUCUAUACGCCUUUGUAUUUGAGUCAUAACCUAACAAAAACCCUUCUACAGCUUUGGGAGCAAAUUUAGAAUUCCUACCUUUCUUCACUAGAAUGUAGCAUUUACUCCAAAAUACACGAAAAUAUGGAACGUUGGGCUUGUUACCGGUUAGUAGCUCAUAUGAAGUCUUCUUGAGGAGGCGAUGAAGGUAGACCCGGUUUAUGGCGUGGCAAGUCGUGUUCACGGCUUUCGACCAAAACCGCUCGGGCGUCUUGAACUCUCCAAGCAUCGUCCUUGCCAUGUCGAUGAGUGUCCUGUUCUUCCUCUGUACCACACCAUUUUGCUGUGGUGUGUAGGGAGCGGAGAACUCGUGCUUGAUUCCUUCCUCCUCAAGAUACUCCUCUACUUGAAGGUUCUUGAACUCGGACCCGUUGUCGCUCCUUAUCUUUUUCACCUUGAGCUCAAAUUCAAUUUGAACUCUCCUAAGGAAGCGCUUGAGGGUCCCUUGGGUUUCAGAUUUAUCCUGCAAAAAGAAUACCCAAGUGAAUCGGGAAAAAUCAUCAACAAUUACUAAACCAUACUUACUUCCCCCGAUGCUAAGGUAGGCGACGGGUCCAAAGAGGUCCAUAUGCAGCAGCUCCAGGGGUCUUGAUGUAGUCAUCACGUUCUUGCUGUGAUGAGCAUUUCCCACCUGUUUACCUGCUUGACAAGCUGCACAAGGUCUAUCUUUUUCGAAAGUUACAUUUGUUAGACCUAACACAUGUUCUCCCUUUAGAAGUUUGUGAAGGUUCUUCAUCCCCACAUGUGCUAAACGGCGAUGCCACAACCAGCCCAUGCUAGUCUUAGCAAUUAAGCAUGCAUCUAGACCGGCCUCCUCUUUUGCAAAAUCAACUAAAUAAAGUUUGUCGUCUAGUACACCCUUAAAAGCUAAUGAACCAUCACUUCUUCUAAAGACAGACACAUCUACAUUUGUGAAUAAGCAAUUAUAACCCAUAUUACAAAGUUGACUAACGGACAACAGGUUAUACCCGAGCGACUCAACUAAAAACACAUUAGAAAUGGAGUGCUUGGAUGAAAUAGCAAUCUUUCCUAGUCCUUUAACCUUGCCUUGGUUCCCAUCACCGAAUAUGAUUGAAUCUUGGGAAUCCUUGUUCUUGACGUAGGAGGUGAACAUCUUCUUCUCCCCCGUCAUGUGGUUUGUGCAUCCGCUGUCGAUAAUCCAGCUUGAGCCCCCGGAUGCAUAAACCUGCAAGGCAAAUUUAGGCUUGGGUCUUAGGUACCCAACUCUUGUUGGGUCCUGCAAGGUUAGUGACAAUAGUCUUAGGGACCCAAAUGCAAGUUUUAUCUCCCUUGCAUUUUGCCCCUAAUUUCCUAGCAAUUACUUUCUUAUCCUUUCUACAAAUUGCAAAGGAAGCAUUGCAAGCAUGAUAAAUUGUAGAAGGUUCAUUACUUGCUUUCCUAGGUACAUGAACAACAUUUCUCCUAGGCAUAUGAUGAAUAACAUUUUUCCUAGGCAUAUCAUGCACAAUAGAAGAACUAGAAGCAGGCAUAGCAUAUGAAUCAUAAGAAUAAUUCCUAUAAGCAUUUCUAGAGAAUUUUCUAUCACUAUAAAUGAAAGCAUGAUUCUUUUGAACACUAUUAGCCGUAGGGGCCUUCCCUUUUUCCUUGGCGGAGAUGGGAGCCUUAUGACUUGUUAAGUUCUUGGCUUCCCUCUUAAAGCCAAGCCCAUCCUUAAUUGAGGGGUGUCUACCAACAGUGUAGGCAUCCCUUGCAAAUUUUAGUUUAUCAAAUUCAUUUUUGCUAGUCUUAAGUUGGGCAUUAAGACUAGCCACUUCACCAUUUAGUUUUGCAAUAGAAGUAAGGUGUUCAACACAUGCAUCAACAUUAAAGUCCUUACACCUAUUGCAAAUCACUACAUGUUCUACACAAGAACUAGAUUUACUUGCUACUUCUAGCUUAGCAUUUAAAUCAUCAUUAACACUUUUUAAACUAGAAAUAGUCUCAUGGCAAGUAGAUAAUUCACAAGAAAGCAUUUCAUUCCUUUUAACUUCUAAAGCAAGAGAUUUUUGGGCAUCUACAAAUUUAUCAUGCUCUUCAUACAAAAGAUCCUCUUGCUUUCCUAACAAUCUAUUCUUGUCAUUCAAAGCAUCGAUUAAUUCAUUGAUUUUAUCAAUUUUAGUUCUAUCUAAACCUUUGAAUAAACUAGCAUAGUCUAUUUCAUCAUCGCUAGAUUCAUCAUCACUUGAAGAAGCAUAUGUAAUAGUAUCCCUAGUGCAUACCUUCUUUUCCUUUGCCAUGAGGCAGGUGUGAUGCUCGUUGGGGAAGAGGGAUGAUUUGUUGAAGGCCGAGGCGGCAAGUCCUUCGUCGUCGGAUGACGAGCAAUCCGAGUGCCACUCUUUGCCAAGGUGUGCCUCGCCCUUCGCUUUCUUGUAAGUCUUCUUCUUUUCCCUCUUCUUUUCUUGAUCCUGGUCACUAUCAUUAUCAGGACAGUUAGCAAUAAAGUGACCAACCUUACCACACUUGAAGCAGGAGCGCUUCCCCUUCGUCUUGCUCUUGUUGGGGUGAUCCUUGCGACCUUUGAGCGUCGUCUUGAAGCGCUUGAUGAUGAGGGCCAUUUCAUCUUCAUUUAGCCCGACCGCCUCAACUUGCACCACCAUGCUAGGUAGUGCCUCCCUGCUACUUGUUGCUUUGAGAGCAAUGGUUUGAGGCUCGUAGAUUGGGCCAUUCAACGCCUCAUCAACAUAUCUCGCCUCCUUGAUCAUCAUUCGCCCGCUUACAAACUUUCCGAGUAUUUCCUCGGGCGUCAUCUUGAUGUACCUAGGAUUCUCACGAAUAGAGUUUACAAGAUGAGGAUCAAGGACAGUGAAGGACCUUAGCAUGAGUCGGACGACGUCGUGGUCCGUCCAUCUCGUGCUUCCAUAGCUUCUUAUCUUGUUGACCAGGGUCUUUAGCCUAUUGUAUGUUUGAGUUGGCUCCUCUCCCCUGGUCAUUGCGAACCUUCCUAGUUCGCCUUCCACCAACUCCAUCUUGGUGAGCAUGGUGACGUCGUUCCCCUCAUGCGAGAUCUUGAGGGUGUCCCAGAUCUGCUUGGCAUUGUCCAAGCCGCUCACCUUAUUGUACUCUUCCCUGCACAAGGAUGCUAAAAGAACAGUAGUAGCUUGUGCAUUUUUAUGGAUUUGUUCAUUGAUAAACAUGGAGUUAUCCGAACUAUCAAAUUGAAUCCCAUUUUCUACUAUCUCCCAUAUACUUGGAUGAAAAGAAAACAAGUGGCUACGCAUUUUGUGACUCCAAAAUCCGUAGUCCUCUCCAUCAAAAUGUGGGGGUUUACCAAGUGGAAUGGAAAGCAAAUGAGCAUUUGAAUUAUGCGGAAUACGAGAAUAAUCAAAAUAAAAGUUCGAGUUAACCGUUUUCUUUUUCUCCUCGUAUUCGUCGUCCUUUUGAGAAGAGGAAGAUUCGUCGCUGUCAUAGUAGACAACCUUCCUGAUGCGCCUCUUCUUCUUUCCGUCUUUCUUCUUUUGACUCGAGCCGGAGUCAUUGACUUUGUCGUCCCUUGGCUCGUUGAAGAUGGACUCCUUCUCAUUGUCGUUGACCACCAUCCCCUUUCCCUUAGGAUCCAUCUCUUCGGGCGAUUAGUCCCUUUCUUGAAGAGAACGGCUCCGAUACCAAUUGAGAGCACCUAGAGGGGGGUGAAUAGGUGAUCCUGUAAAAACUUGAAACUUAUAGCCACAAAACUUGUUUAAGUGUUAGUAGGCUAAAUAGCGAGCUCUUGUGAACACAAGUAUCACAGAAAAGCAAUCACAAAAGACACGCGAGUUAUCCCAUGGUUCGGCCAAGUACAACACUUGCCUACUCCACGUUGUGGCGUCCCAAUGGACGAGGGUUGCACUCAACCCCUUUCAAGUGAUCCAAGGAUCCACUUGAAUACCACGGUGUUUCUUUCUUUUCACUAUAUCCCGUUCGCGAGGAAUCUCCACAAAUUGGAGCCUCUCGCCCUUACAAAUGAUGAUCACAAAGAAGCACGGAUGUAAGGGAGGGAAAAGCAACACACACAAGUCUCAAAAGCAACAGCUCAAACACGCACACUAAUCACAACUUGAGCUCUAAGUUCACACACGGAGUUCUCAACUCAAGAGGAGCUCAAAUUGCUAUCACAAAGAAUCAAACGCGCUAGAAUGAAGACUUGGUGCUUAGAGAUGAUCAAAGAAUGCUUGGUGUACUCCUUCAUGUGCCUAGGGGUCCCUUUUAUAGUCCCAAGGCAUCUAGGAGCCGUUGAGAGCAAUCCAGGAAGGCAAAUCUUGCCUUCUGUCGACUGGUGCACCGGACAGUCCGGUGCACCACCGGACACUGUCCGGUGCAAAUUUCUUUCUUGUUCUAGCACAGCCGACCGUUGACGAUUUAGAGCCGUUGGCGCACCGGACACUGUCCGGUGCACACGGGACAGUCCGGUGCCCCCAUCAGAUCGUUUGCCCGGCCACGCGUCACACGCAGAUUGCGCGGCCGACCAUUGGCUCGGUCGACCGUUGGCUCACCGGACAGUCCGGUGCACCACCGGACAGUCCGGUGAUUUUUAGCCAUACGCCACCGUCGAGUUCCCGAGAGCGGCCAGUUGAUCAACGCCAGCCUGGCGCACCGGACACUGUCCGGUGCACCCAGACUGAGCAGAGCCUUGGCUGCUCGAGCCAAGUCUUUUCCAUUUGUCUUUUCUCUGAUUCUAGCACUUAGACAAAUAUGUUAGUACACAAAAACCAAUGUACUAAGUCUAGAAUCAUACCUUUGUAUUGAUUUGCACUUUGUCCACCAUUUGGCAUAGUUUAACACAUAACAAUUUGUGUUGGACACUUAAUCACCAAAAUACUUAGAAAUGGCCCAAGGGCACAUUUCCCUUUCAGUAUGAACGAACGAUAAACGAUGAAUAGUGACUAUGAAUGAUGAUUAGGGACUAUGAACGAACAAUGAACGAUGAAUAGGGAUUAUGAACGAACGAUGAACGAUGAAUAGGGACUAUGAACAAUGAAUAGGGACUAUGAACGAACGAUGAAUGAUGAAUAGGAACUAUGAACGAACGGACGAACGAUCGGAUGAACGAACGAUCGGAAUUUUGGCAGCAUAACGGCUGAACAAAGAUUAUUUGGACGAACGAACGGGUGAACGAUCGGACGAACAAACGAACAAACUAAGAACAUGUGGACGAACGAUCGAAGAACGACCGAACGAUCCUUGUGCUAGUGUGUGCUUGUGUGGGACUUGGAGUGGGCGUGUGGGGGGGAGAGAGUUAUCAUGGAAUGGCUUGGGGUGGCUUGAAAGGAGGCCCUUGCCCCUCUAUUUAUAGGCUAGGUGGGGGGAUUAGGGGGAGGAGGAGGCGAGGAUUAGUGGGAGGAUGCGAGAAUUAGUGAGAGAUAAGCAUGUAUUAGUCUUGUAUAAGUGAAAUUAGCUUGUAGAACUCACUGUAUGACACUGGAGGCGUACGUAUACAUAUGAGCAUCAGUAAGAUUAUGAAGAAAAUAUUUGUAGGGACUUUAAAAAUGAUUCUGAAGGUAUUUCUCAGGAGGAAACUUUUGAAGAAUUAUCGGUGGAAUAUUUGGGCAGUAUUUCUGGAAAGAUUUUGAGGGGGAUCACUAGGGAAAUAUUUGUAGGAUAUUUUGAGGAGAAUAUAGACCACUAUAUUUUAUUUGUUGAGAUCAACUCUCAAACAAACAUUUUGAAAUGAAAUUUAAAAUUCAUUUUGAAUUUAGGGCGAGUUUGAGAAAAUUUCAAGAUUUGAAUUUUCGGGGUGAUACAGAUCUACCCCACUUAAAAUGAAUCUUGUCCUCGAGAUUCGGCUUAGAAGUGUUAUGGGUAUAGCUUUACUUUAGCUACAAAUCUUCACUUUGCAGACUCUUCGAGGAGAUGGAGCUUCAACAAAAUUUGGCCUUUGAGGAGCAUCCGGUUGCUGAUUGCAAAUGCUGAUUCUGGCUACUCAAAGAUCAUCUUCAGGCUUCUAGCUUUCGCUUGGCAGCUAGCUUAUUUAAGAAGCAUCGUUGCCAACACACAAACCUUCUUGCGAACUUAUCCAUGGGUUCCUUCCUUGAUUGGUCUUCUGGUGCUUUAUCAACAAAACUUGGGUGACCACUUCUCAUUUAGAAACUUAUAUGCUUGGAUGAUCUGGUCCUCCACUGUCACACCUGAUUUUAAUGGACAAAGCCGGGUGCAUCUCAUAUAUGCGCCAAAGAAGACAACACAUAUAAUAACAGAGUGUAUAGAGAUAAAUGUCACAAUAUAAUCAGAGUACUUAUUACAUAGCAGAAGUCUUACAAAAUAAAAGAUAAAUAUACAUCAAACUAAAAUCCAUCCUUGGCGCCACAAAGUCAACUAGGAUACACCACCUAGAUCGAAUCGAACUCCUCAAUAUGUGGCUCCUCUUGAACCACCUGUUCUUCUCCCAUCGGGGGUGUGAGACAGCAAGGGUGAGCUCACACAUGAUCAUAGCUCAACAAGUUGUGGGGAAUAAUGUGUCAUGAACUGACCAAAGGUGGGAGUUCAUGUAAUGUGUAUGGCUUACCAAAGAGAAUGGUUAAAGCUGAGCAUUUCUUUUAAAGUUGGUCAAAGUUUUAUUAGUACGUACUAAAUGUAAGUAAAUACCAAACCAUAAUAAUAAUAGUAGAACAAAAUUAAUAAUAAACCCAUGCAAAUGCAAAUGACAAAUUGAAUUUAAGUUCCAUAAUUUAAUCAUGUGAGAGUCCUGAGCUGCUCUUAACCGUGAGCUCGGCUAGUAUACCAGUUUUAAACUCUGCAGAGGUUGUACCCUAUACCCACAAGUCAUGUAUCCCAUGUCGCCAGGGUUAGCUAGACCCUUAGACACUACCGAGGUGAAUGGCUAGGGAUCCACUACAAGGCCUUUAUAAAGUUCCACUAGCUUCCGAAAACCCGCUACAGUUUAUGUGAAGAGCACUUGCAAGAAUCCCUUGUCUGACCACCAUCGCAGCAAAAUCAACCCAAGAACCUCCUUGCAUGCAACUCCCCUACUGCUCUUUCCCCUUUCAGGUAAGGUAGUCUUCCACUAGCUUUCGUAAUUAGUCAGCCAAGGGCGUCCCAUUCCACCCUUGUGGUGGCACGUGUUUCUCAAGUGAAGCUCCAUGUUCCAAUUAAAAUAUAAUGAUCUUGACAUGAAUAUAAAUAAAAUAACAGAAUAACUGGAACAUGGAUAUAAUGAAAUAUUAUCCCAAAACCAUAUAAAGCAAUAGCAAUACUACCCAAGUGAUUCAGGGGUAAACAAGGUAAAAGAUAAUCAGACUAGGGUGACCUAUUGGGUCCUAUCAAAAUUAAACCUAUGCAUUGAAUAGUGAUAAUAAAGAACACUAUUGGGUAACAAAGGUGGUCAAGGGCACAACUUGCCUGGCACUUGAGAUUCCAGGUACCAGGAUGAUUCUUCAGAUCCUCGUAACCUCGAGCUAGUCGUAGCAAUAUAAACAAACAUGGUAUAGGGAAAAUUAACAUCACACCAAACAUAAGAACAAACUACAUAAUAAUAUUCUACGCUGUGUAACGAGAUCGUAGGAACAAGAAUUACUAAAUUCGGAGUUAUACUUAUUUAGUUAUGAAUUAUAUUUCUGAAGUUUUUAAGUACUUGGAAUAGCAUAACUCAUGUGAAUAAUUUUAGUUCAAGUUUCAUGGCUAAACAAAUCUACUAAGUGAUAAAGAAUAUUAAAACAAAAUUAGUGUCUUUGGAAUGACUCAAUUUGGAGUUAAAAUGAAGUUAAUAUGAAUUAUACAAGUUUUUGAAAUUAUUUUUGUAUUAAAAUCAAUUUCCUUAAUUAUUUCUCUAUUUUUACUACUCUCUGGAUUGGACGCCAUAUUCUUAAAUGUUCAGGGCCUCAUCUAUAAUUUUCUCCAAGACUCAGACUGCAUCCCUACUAGACGGUGGGUUAAUUGCAAAUAAGUCCAGGGUGUCUUUAGUAAGUUGGUCGGGCCAAAACGGUACAAGAAUUUCUCGUUCACUAGAUCAAGAACCAAAGGUCACGAUUAUAAGGCCAUUUACCCGAACCGGUACACAAUGAUAUGCGCAGGAAGUGAAAUCUACGGCUCUGGUUUAAUGUUUACGCGAUCUGUCUUCGACCGUCCAUCAAAUGAUUUAUGGUCGAGAUGGAGUCAUGUCGAAGCGGUGCAUUGAUUAGAUCCCAACCAUUUAACGCUGGAUCCAUGGCCCAGAGCAGUUCACUCGCACCGGUCAGACUCCGGCGGCGGAGUGAAGUUCCCACGGCGGCGCCAUUGCCACCCGUACCCAAAACUACGCCUAAGUGCGCCAAACGUCGAUCCUGACCGCGCAACGGAUAGAGGAGAUCAUAGCGAACAUGGGGAUUGAUUACUUACUGAUAUGACCGCAACACAGGUCCUAGCCCACGUGCGUGAGUGGCUUCUCUGUCGUACUGUUGCUCCGGCAAGCAAUUUGCCACAAGCCGACUCCCACAAGCGCCCAGUGAGUCCACGCGCAGUCCCCCGCGAACGUGAUGACGCUCCCGGCCUACCCGCUUAGGUCCCAACAUCGGCGUGGGCGCGCCACCACGGCAGCGGCCCUGCGGUUCUCUCUCUCUCUCUCGAUGGAGAAACUCGGCGCAUAGCUGAUACAGUUGGUCGCGGUCAUGGGCAUGCGAUGGAGGGGGAAAGGGCUACGCAGUCCCAGGUCUGGCCUUUAUUCUCCGCAAACCCAGCACAACUAACCCCGCCACGGAUCUCCCACAGAUUUCCCGCGUGCAGUUGAGGACGAACCCGUGGAGCGGAUGAGGUAGCUGACCGAUGGAGUAGUUGCUUCGAGGUGGGACCCGCAUGUCACACCCACUUCCCACGCGCACGCAUACAAGAGACCGGUCCCUGCUGACCGUAAAGGCCCACGCGUCGGUGAUAGAUCCCAUAUGGCCAUAUCCCACUGGGCUGCAUGGAGGUGAAGGUGGUUAUGGGCCAAAAUAGUAGCGGCCCGCCCGCUUAGGUUAGAUUCGUUUUAUUCUUUUCUUUUAUUCUUUUUAUUCCCUAUUCUCUUUUCUUCCUUUCCAAAUUCAUAUUUUCAUUUCAAAUUUAAAUUCCAUUCUUGUGUCAAAUUUAUCCUCACAUCAUAUUGUGAAAUUAAAAGUACCAAUUUGAAAUUAUAUUUAUAUAUUUUAUUUAAAUUUUUAAUAUCCUUUCUUGUUUUUUUCUUUUCUUUCCAAAUCCACAUUUCAAUUUAAAUUCAAAGUGUGUGACAAAUUCCUCUUCACAUUAAAUGUUCAAUUUGAACAUAGUAUGGUAAUUAUUUAUUUAUUUAUUUAUUUAUAAUUUUUAUUUUGUUUUGUAUAGUUUUUCUCUCUUUCUAUAUUAUUUCCAAUUUCCCCCAAUUUGCACUUUUGGGGUUAAAUAUAAUUCACAUCUCAUUAUUAUAUUUCCAUAUUAUUCCUUUUUGACAUUACAAAAUUUCUAAUUCCAAUCUAAGAUAAGGUUUAAGAAUUCAAAUUUAAUACCCUCUAAAAGUCAAUCAUGAUGCCGUGGAUAUCUAUUUAUUCUAAAUAAUUUAUUUGUUUGAUAAAUGUUUGAAAUAUGAAACACACUCAUAUUAUUCCUUUCUUUUUAGCAAAAUAACAUUUUGAAUGUGGGACAAGAAAUAAAAGUCACUUCAAAAUUAGAUAUUCAUGCAAAUAAAUGCUUAUGGUGCAUCAUUUAAUGAUAUGCAUAAUUAUUUAGUUGAAUAGAAAACUUUUCUAUUACUUCUUUUCUAAAAUAAUUCUUGGUUUUCAAAAUUCAGUCCUCAAUUUUCAAUGCUCAACUAUAAUUUGAGAUAUCUCAAUUUACUAUUUCAUUUCUUCAUAUAUUUAUUUUAUUAUUAUAUUUUUUUCUUAUACACAUUUUGGGCCUUACAAAUCCUACCCCCCUUAACAGAAAUCUCGUCCUCGAGAUUUGUAAGAAAAGGGUGUAUAACCAUGUUAUCUCAAAACAUAUGCACAAACAAAAUCUCAGCAUGAUGCAUAAUUCAUUUGCAACACAUGGGGUCAAAUAGACCUUAUUAUUCCUCCUACAAUAGUAAAAUACUAGCUACUAACUAAAGUAACACUUAGGUCUUACAAAUAGUAAUAAUAUAUUUAUAGCUUGGUGGAGGUGGUGGAGGUAGUGGGCGUUGUUGUUGUUGUCUUGCCAACCGUGCUUGCCUUAUUUCUUGACGUAUCUCCAGCCGGUCCUGACGUAUUUCUUGGCGUUCUUGCCUUAUCUGAUUUUGCAUUUCGGUAACUUUGUUUGCCAUUUGUUGUAUUACCAUCAUUUGGGCAGCAACCACUUGAUCGAUUCCAACCGGUGGAGGAUCUGAAGGAUUCAUUUCUGUUUGUUGUUUCCUGGUAAUCUUUCCUCCCUGGUAUUGACCAUCAAAGUUAGUAGAAUAUGGUAAUAUAAUUUUUGCAAGGAAAACUAUUUGGCAAGUAGACGAAUAGGCAAAUAACUGAUUAUGAACUGAAGAUUCUUUGGUAGGGUUUAAUCUUCCUUUAAUGUCCAGAUUGGGGUAACUAAUCGUAUAAGGUGAAUAUCUAAAGAUAGGAUAGAAUUUUGUCAAGAUGAGAUAGUCUACAUGAUGUAGGUUAGAAGUUUGUUUGAUGUUAGGCGGAGAUAGAUAGAUUAUACCAUUCGUCAUGACCCUAUGGAUUUGGUUAGCUCUUAUGUUCAUGGUUGAGUUGGUCUAUUGUGCUAAGUUUAGUUAAUACUUGGUUAGUAGGGUCUAUGCUCUUCUACGAGUAUCACUAAUCUGUUCAAGUAGACCACACUAGAUUAGAUCACAUUAGAUUCUAUAAUCUCAUUUAAGAAUACCAUUUAGUUAAACAUAUCCAGCUGACUUUAUCUUUAUGAAAUUCUAGUAUAUUUUUUAUCUCAGUGGAACUUCCAAUUAGUAUAUUUUUUAUACCUAAAUUUUUCAUGCCAUUAACAGGUGUGGCAUAGAAAACAAGGGUACAUCAUGUCUUAGCUAUUUGGUGAGUGUUGACAUAGAAUGAGUGUACUAUGACAUAAUCGUGAUUCCUUUGGUGUCUGAAUUAGGGACCAUCGGUCGUGGUGUUUGAUGCCAUUAUCCAAGUUGGGAUAACUAUUGCGGAUACACAGGGUAGAUGGAGUAAACAGAGUUUUACUUUUGUUUUGGGAUAAAUAGGUUGGACAACCUAUAACAUAGGCUAGGUCGUGGUUCCACAGACGAGUUGGUCUAAGACACCAAUUUAGGUUUAAAAUCCCAUUUAUCGGAAUAUGGUCUAAUCUAUGUUACCAGUAUUAACUGACUUGUCUAAGUAACUUCCUUUAGAUUAGAUCAUGUCAGAUUAGGUAGGGUCUAGGUUAGGUUGGAUACAACUAGAUUAGACUAGUUUAAGUUAGAUAGAUCUACCAGGGUAGGAUAUAUAUUAUUAGGAUGUCGGAUCAUUGCUGACGUCUCCUUGCUUCCGUAAGGGGCUGCGAGCCGCCGUCGUCUUGGAGCACGCGGGGUGCCAUCAUUAGUUGUUUACCGGGGCGAGCCAGAUGGGACGUCGGUCUUGUUCCCCGUAGCCUGAGCUAGCUAGGGGUAGGGUAAUGAUGGACCCCCUGUGACGUGGUCGGUCCGAGCCUGAGGUCGGGCGAGGCGGAGGCUCCUCCGAGGUCGAGGCUGAGUCCGGGCCCGGGGGUCGGGCGAGGCGGAGUCCAUCUUCCGAGGUCAAGGCUGAGUCCGAGCCCUGGGGUCGGGCGAGGCGGAGUCCGUCUUCCGAGGUCGAGGCUGAGUCUGAGCCCUGGGGUCGGGCGAGGCGGAGCUUCCUAUGGCGCCCGAGGCUGGACUUAGCUGCUGUCAGCCUCACUCUGUCGAGUGGCACAGCAGUCGAAGCGGGGCAGGCGACGCUGUUUUCCCGUCAGGUCGGUCGGUGGAGCGGCGAAGUGACUGCGGUCACUUCGGCUCUGUCGACUGAGGAGCGCGCGUCAGGAUAAGGUGUCAGUCGAUCCUUGCAUUGAAUGCUCCUGCGAUACGGUCGGUUGACGUGGCGAUCCGGCCAAGGUUGCUUCUCCGUGAAGCCUGUCCGAGCUGGGCCUCGGGCGAGUCGAAGGUGCGUCCGUUGCUUGAGGGGACCCUCGGGCGAGACGUGGAUCCUCCGGGGUCGGCUGCCUUUGCCCGAGGCUGGGCUCGGGCGAGGCGAGAUCGUGUCCCUUGAGUGGACUGAGCCUUGACCUUAAUCGCGCCCAUCAGGCCUUUGCAGCUUUGUGCUGAUGGGGGUUACCAACAGAGAUUAGGAGUCUUGGGGGUACCCUUAAUUAUGGUCCCCGACAGUAGCCCCCGAGCCUCGAAGGGAGUGUUGGUACUCGCUUGGAGGCUUUUGUCGCACUUUUUUGCAAGGGGACCGGCCUUUCUCGGUUGCGUUUCAUUUCGGUGGGUGCGCGCAAGCGCACCCGCCGGGUGUAGCCCUCAAGGCCUCAGAGGAGUGUUUGACUCCUUCGAGGUCUUAAUGCCUUUCGUGAUGCUUCGGCCGAUCUGGUUGUUCCCUCAUGCGAACUGGUCGUAGCCCGGGUGCAUAGUCAGGUUCCAAGUUCUCGGGCUGGUAUGUUGAUGCUGUCAACGGUUUGGCCGGAGCCGGGUUUGCGAGAGCAGCCCCCGAGCCUCCGCACAGAGCGAGAGGACGGUCAAGGACAGACUCAGCUUUUUUCAUACGCCCCUGCGUCACCUUUCUGCAAGGAGGAGGGGGGAAAGCGCCAUGUUGCCCUCGGAGGGCGCCGAACAUGGCGUCUCCAGUGAGUUGCUAGCGGGUGAUCCGAGUGGACGCCAGUGCCCCGUUCGAUAAGGGUCGGCUAGUGUCCUAGAGGCGCACUCCAAAAGUACCUGCAGGUGAUUUGCCGGACCCGGUCCCGUUUGAUAGGGUCCGAGGGCUCGAUGCCUCCCUCUGAUGGGAUUCCGUUACAGAAUCGCUCCUGCUGGUCUGGGAAAUGUCCUAGGGUACCUCUGGAGCGUAGUGUGACACCCCAGUGUCACCUAGGGUUUCUCUCAAAUGCCAAACCUAGAACCAUUAUUUCAUGUGAAUCAAAGUAAGAAUGAGCAUCAAAAUAACUUAAGUAAUAAAGAAUUCACCAAGUAUAUACCUAAAAGUAUCAUGAUCAAAACAAUUGAGUCUUUGAAAAGGUAAGAAUGUGCAACCCUAAUAAAAACCCUAAGUGGGCCCUAUAAGCAAAAUGCAAGAAAAUAAGAAAAAUGGGAUAAAAAGUUUAAGAUUUUGACUUGAUCCAAUUAUAAAACUUAAAGUAUAUUUAAUGAGCAACAAGAAAGAUUGAGAAAGCUUAGCCAAAAUAACUCAAAUAAAUCCCCAAAUCAGCCCUUGAACUAUGAACCCUUAGAGAAAUUCAGAUUUCUGAAUUUCUGAAUUUCAGACCUCUUCCCAAAGAUCAUCUGCGUUCUCUGUUUUUCGAAACUCAAAGCCAGGAGAUCCAAAUAUCAAAGUUGUGCCAAAUUCCCUUGAACACAUCCUGGAAAAGUUUGAACUCAAACCAAAUUCAUUUGACACGGUUUUGGCGCAGUUUGACCUCGGGACCAGGCAUUCUGACACUGGCACCUUGGUGACGCUACAACUCCCUGUCCCUAGCCUAAAACGCGUGACGUCCAUACACAAAAGACAAAGCUUGGUCAGGUGAACAAAUCCUUCACAGCGAUCUUGCCCAAAUUCGCGAAGAUUUGCUCCCAAUCGGCGCUUGAACAUGGGCAGAGGCAACGGGAACACGUGUUCGACCGUGGCUGACACCCCCGGUUCACGCCCGUUCGCUCACCGCGCCUCCUAGUGCACGCCCGCGCGCACUCGCCGGUCCACGACCGCCCGUGCACCGCGCCGUGCCUAUAAAGCCUUCCCAGGCGCGCCCCACUCCGCCCCGCACUCACCCUCACCGGCCAGCCACUUUCCCUUAGCUCCGGCGAGCUCAAUUCCGCCCGCCAUUGCCGCCAGAGCUUCGGCCAUCGUGGCCAGCCCACUCCAGCCAUCCUCUGGGCGAGCCAGUGCUUCGGCUAGCUCCGCCAGUAGCCCGUGAAGCUUGCCAAGCCCUCGGACCCGGCCGGACUUCACCGGAGGCCCGAGAUCGACCUCACCGGACUUCGGUCUUCCGCCGCCGCGCGUGGACCGAGCUAUCCAGUGAGUCUCCGCCCAAUUCCUUGCGCUCAUAUCUUCUCUGGCACCCCAUGGACCUCUCUGACCCAUCCAAUUGAACUAUCUCGCCGUGACCAGGUCGGACUCCUCGCCGCCGACGAGCAUCCCCGCCUGCGCGCGUGGACCGACCGACUCCGGCCAUCUUCGACGGCGACCCGCACACCGUUGUGAUCCCCGAGACCUCCCCUUCAUCCUCGACCACUUCACCGGAGCAAUCUCGCCGCCGGUAAGCCCCUCCGCCCUUUCUUCCGCCGCGGUUACUGUUUAAGGUAGAAGAAGGACCUCGGGUUAGGACUUGUAGAACCCGAGGGGUUUUCUGUAACGUCAGUGACUCAUGUGAAUAGUAGCUGAAGGACUGAUUCGCGAGGAAAACUUAAAAACCCGCCAGGGACCCCAGUGCAAAGUGGAUUUCCAUUAAACCAAUUAUGUUAUUCUUUUUAAAUUGACCAGAGAACUUAGAAAACCCAUAACUUGAUGAAUUCUUCAUAAAAAGUUGUCAAACCAAUUUUGCUAGCUCCUGAAUAUUAUGAACUAUCAUUUAAAAAUGUUAAACCCUAUGCUUUCUGUUCUAAAUCUUAUAGUUUAAAAUUAAAAACAGAAACUCACCAAACCUUGUUUAAUUAAGGAAAAUUAGUUUUUCUUCUGUGUUGAACUUAAGAAAAUUUGUAGAUGUUCAAACCUCAAUUAGACACUGUUUAAAAAUAGUAGGAACCCCAGCAUUAGAAAUUAUGAUGUAGUUAUUCAUUUAAAGCUAUUUUGUCCAAAACUUAGAGAAAAUCAGAAAGGCAUUAUAAAUUAAUGAACAAUGAUUAAGAUUAUUUUUCCUAGUUUACUUAUGUAACAGAGAACCUAGGAAAAAUACAGAGACCAUUAAUUUGGACCAGUUUUAAAUUAAAAUGAUUUAUUUAGCCUUAUAUAGACUGAAAAUCAAUUAUUAGAGCAGCAAAACUAUCACCAAAAUGAAUAAUAAAAAUCCAGUGGACUUACAACCCUCAGAGCCCCACUACAAAAAUACAGAGCACCCCAGCCCAACUUUUUAAGUAAGGAAAAUAAAUACAAAGUGAUAGUAAGGCAUUUUCCAAAUAAAUCAUGAACAACCCCUAUUAAUGAGAUAAUGGGCAACCAAAAAAUUGCAAAGUCCAUGAUGAAAUAAACUACCAGAGAAAAAUGCCAACCCAUGAAAAACAAGCAAACUCAUACCAAUUGCUAAUGAUUUAAGAGAAAGGCCACUUAAUUCAAAUAAUGCAUACCACCCCUUCCUUUAAGCAAAAAGAUGCCAAACUUCAGAAUGAUUGCUCUUGCACAAAAUAAUAACCAAGAAAAAUAAGAACUCUGUUGUUUGAUGUGUUUCAAAUAUAGUGAUAGUAGAAAGCAUCUAUUUGGCUAGAAACUUGAGAAAACCAUAGAAAAAUAACUAAAAGGUAUUAAUGAUUAGAAAUUUGUAUCAAGUCAUGUUAUAACACCUAAAAGCCAGCAAAAAAAAGUUUUGGAGAAUUGCCCACUGUUAAGUAAUAGUUGUAGUUCAAAGCACCCCUUCUGCCCUAGAAUUUAAUAAUUUUGUCCAGAGAAAACUAUUCACUUUCUGAUCCCCAAAUUUUGAGACAGAGAAACAUACACCAGUACCCAGCCACUGUAAUUGUUCCAGAAUUUUUAGAAUUUUAUAAAAGCAACUUGUAGUUCAAACCUACCCCAAAACAUUAAAGAGAAUAAAAGAAAAGGGAAGAAGAAAUAAACCUCACCCCAAUAAGUCUAACUUGAGAACUUAUCAAUUCUCCCUAAGAUUUGAAAAGAAUUCAGUGGAACCCCAAAAAUAAACCUACCACUUACCUUAGCUAAGUUUGACCCAAUUUACCAAGUAUACCACCCAAGGGACUUACAUAAGUAAAGUUAACUUUGUUUAACUCAAAAGAUCAUACAACUUUAAAGUUGUAAUUUCUAGAAGCACGUAUCAUAUCAUGCAUAUACCUUACGCAUUGUAUUCAUUAGAUUGUAAUCUUGCAGACGGAGAGUACGUGCUCAUCCCCGAGCAAGGACCUGUCCAAGAGGAGGACCAGGAGCAGGCUUCAGAGGCUGCUAUUGAGGAUCUCCCCGCAGCCCCAGCAAUUGAAGGCAAGCCCCGGUUUUAUGCAUAACCGUAUUAUUAUAUGCUACUUUACUACACUUAAUGCUUGUAGGAUUGAAAUGUGCACUUAAGUGUAGGAGUUGCUUGAAACCUCUAGUUGCAUGAACUUAGGAUUCCUUUUUGAGAUGAAUACUAGUAUGCUAGGUCGAGUAGCUGCUUGCUAAUCAGGAUCUCGGUAGAAGUCGAGUGAUUUUUCUAGCACUCGCGCGAGGUCAGGAAUUGAUUGUAUUCAUCUUGAUAACGGGAUAUAUGUUAGUCUAUGGACUUGGAUCCAGGGAGGAUGCCUUGUCCAUGAGACGGGAAAAAUGAAUUAAGGAUUAAUGUGUGGAUACCUGAGUCAAGCUUUUGAACGUACUAAGCACAUGCCGGGAAAAAUGGUAACCGGUAAACCUAGUACCUGAGUGAAGUCGGGCGCGGACUUUAUCCCUCAUGCGACCUGAGACUGGGUCUCCCAUGCUAGCUAUGGUGGGUACAAGUGCGGUCACUGCACGGCGGCAGCCGGGGUCAGUGGAGCAUUGUAUGCCAAGGCGGUGAGGCCUGGACGCGAACGGGGAAUCGAUGGGGACGGUUGUCAUGUGCAGGGUCGAAGUACCCUGGCAUGCCGUGUGUUUAGAUUUACCUUGCAAGGUUAAAACUCGAUUCGAAUCGUCUGCUUCUCGCAGCUAAUGAGACUGCUUGAUUUCUUGUACUGCAUCGAGUAAGAAGUGAAAUGUGGUUACAUGAGAUAACUUGUUGAUUGAACUAAUUGAUUGUUACCAUGUAUGCUUAGAAGAGCAAAUCUAGCUAAGUUAAUGAUGAUAGAAUUGGAAAAGCUAAAAUUUGCUUUUAGAAACAGCUAGUGCUUUUGGCAAACCAAACCCCUCAGCCAAACAGCUGCUUGUGGCACACCGGUUAAGUCUAGCUGAGUAUUAGUAUACUCAGCCUUGCUUGUGGCACAAUUUUUGCAGGUACCAUUCAGGAAAUGGUUGAUGGUGUGACUUGGCCUACCACCCUGCCACCGGGUUGGACGGUCGAGUGGGAUGUUGCUCCGGCAGGAGAGGAUCAUGAGGAGUAGUGGGCUAGGCCUUGCCCAUUUCCUCAUUACCGACGACAUCGAUUAUCCGCUGCACUUUAUUUUGUGAACUUUAUUUACUACGCAAAAUCUCCGAUUUAUGUAAUAACUCAGUACUUAAUUUGAGGUUUCCUGUUUUAUUGUAUUUCUUCUGUAACUCACCUUCGAGUGAGAAUAUGGAAUUUGAUCCUGGUUAAGUGGCUCUAUCAGACUAGAUCUGAAGGACUGACGGGUUAUUCCGAUUUAAGUGUGUUACGGCCCCUGAGGCGUGACAUGGGCACUUAAGCUGGAAUAAUUCGGGUGGUUCUGCCACACGUAGCCUUGGCCUCGACCAUGUAUCGGACGUACCCAGAGUCAUCCCUCGCUCUGCGUGCUCUGAGGCGGCUGUCGAACCCUUCGGGGGCCAGCCUACGAACCCCUGAUCAGUAGUGGGCGCGGAGCCCGAGUGGCCUGAGGCGGCUGUCGAACCCAUCCGAGGGGCCAGCCUUUGAACCUCUGACUAGUGGUGGGCGUGGAGCCCGAGUGCUCUGAGGCGGCUGUCGAACCCUUCCGAGGGGCCAGCCUUCGAACCUCUGAUCAGUAGGAGGGCUCGGGGCCCGAGUGCUCUGAGGCGGCUGUCGAACCCUUCCGAGGGGCCAGCCUUCGAACCUCUGAUCAGUAGGGGGCUCGGGGCCCACUUCCUUCGCGGAGAAGGAUCCCUUUCAGAGUAUCCCCUUUCCCGGUCCCUGUAGCAAGAGAGAGAAAGGGGAAGAGAAAAAGGGAUAUGAAUUUGAACGACGUGCCGCACCUUUUUUGACGCGGUUAUUAUGGCGGAGGUGAAGCGUCGCCUGCUUCGCCUGCCAAAGGUGCCGCCUGUCCUGCCGCAGAGUUAAUGCGACAGGACGAGUGGUUCGCGGGGCAGCCAUUGUGCGUGCGCGAGCCGUUCGAGGAACGGGCGUCUUGCCUUUGAAUUUUGAAUCUCGCGGCGGGUUCGGGCGAAGUGUUGAACGGGUCUCGCCUGGGCCUUUAUAUAUUCGAGAGAGGGACCGAUGACGAUUCUUUACUCUGCUGCUCGCCUCCCACUUAGGUUUCCGCAACCUGAGGGAAUAGCCAGAGAAAGAAAACCGCGCACCUUGUCCGCUCCGCCGCCACCUCUUCUGCUUGGUGAUGGCCGACCGGGUGACCGUUGUUUCGCCGCGCGACCCGUGGCCUUUCUCCACCGUCACGGCGGACGAUCUGGAGGCCCUUGUUGCCGAUGGUUUGCUUUGUCCUCUCUCCGGUGACCCGCAGCCAGAGUGGAUUGCCCCUCCGAGCGGAGCCGCCCCGUCCCCGCCGCCGGGGUAUGUGCUGAGCUUCGUCUCUUUUCACGAGCGGGGGUUCGGAGUGCCGACAAGUCGUUUCAUGCGGGUGAUUCUGCACGUCUACGGGGUGGAGCUGCACAAUCUCAGUCCCAACUCCAUCGCGCAAGCAGCCAUCUUCGCGGCGGUUUGCGAAGGGUUUUUGGGGAUUGCCCCCCACUGGGACCUGUGGACCCAUCUCUUCUCCGCGGAGCUUUUUGCCUCGACGAUGGGGGAAAGAAGAGUUCGCAUGGCGGUGCGGGCUGGUGGCUGCAUCCUCCAGUUGAGGCAGGCGCGGAUGCAACAGUACAUCCCUGCCAUCCUCGUGUCUUCGAACAAGGGGUGGCAGCGCCGAUGGUUUUAUCUCCGGAAUGACGACGGGAGGCUCCCGUCGUUUUCUCAAUGAGUGGUGACCGCCGCCGGCGGUAACUAGCGCUACAGGGCCCCGCGCGAGAAACAGAAGAAUCUCCAGCCCCUUUUGAAGGCCUUGGAGGAGCUGCGAGAAGGAGGGCUCACCGCCGUGGGGGUGGUUGCCGCCAUUCAUCGCCGGAGGGUGCUCCCCUUAACGGAGCGGCGGCUGCCGCUUUGGGAGAUGACGCCGGGGGUCGACUUGGAGGAUUUGCAGAUGUCCUCGGUCCCCCUUCCCGCCGAUGACCUCCACAGGCGGGUAGCCGGCACGGUAGGGAGGUUAGACACCGGCGCCCUUACCCAGCUCUCGAUGCGUCCCGAUCGCGGGUGUGUGUCCCUGGUGAGUGUCCGCUCCUUCUUCCUUCUUGUGUCGGAUUGCCCUUGGUUCUCAUAGCCGAGACUUUUCGUCCGUCUCCAGGAGGUGGGGUUUCACAAGCCUUCCCUGCCACCGGUCCCAGAGGACGCGGUGGACCGAGCCGCGCGGAGGGUCGCCGCGGAGAAGAGGAAGGAGAAGAAGGACGUGAAAAAGGCUCGGGCCCGCGAGCGGAUGCGGGCUCGGGAUGCCUUGGAGAGGCUUCGUCGUUGGCAGGAGAGGGAUGGGCUCCUGAGGGAGCCGUCGCCGGAGACGCCCGACGAUGACGAUGACGACGACGAUGACGAUGAUGAAGACGACGACAUGGCUGCCCGCCUCGGCCUCAGCCCGGAUCUGAGGCUGGGCCAGGGGUCGUCGAGCCAGCCCCCGAGUGGGCUGGCACCGUCGGUAUCCAGGGCCAGGACGUCGGGGUCCCGGUCCGAAGAACGGGGGCAGGCCGAGGGGGUACUUGACCCCUUGGCCGAGGUAGUUGAGGUGACCCCGGGGAGUCAGGCCGACCCGCCUAUUCCCCAAGAGCCGUUGCCCGUGCCGACUGCAUAGGAGGGUGAUCCUCGGGUCGUCGUGGCUGCCCCUGGGCGGUCCGUCCCUCUGGUGCCUCGGGCGCCUAAGGCAAGGAUGGUGCUGAAGCCGGCAGCGGGGCUAACCUUGGUGGUACCCUCGGGGACCGAGGCUCGAGGGACCUCCCCGCAGGCACGAUUGGUCGUGGCCCGGAGUGGGUAAGUAUCUGAGGAUACCUUUGUCCCGGCUCCUUCUUCGUGUGUCCUGAUCCUGCUCUUCCCUUUCUUCCUAGCAAACGGAGGCACGAUUCGACCGGUCUGGCUCCCCUGAAGGUCCUUAAGACAGCAUCGGCUUCUGCAGCUAGUGUCGCGUCGGGCCUUGUCGGCCAGCUGGCCUCCUCACAAGAUGCCCCAAAGCGGGGGGCUCAAGCAGCACAAGCUGCCGUGGGGCGAGCUCCCGAGGCUGACCCCUCCGUCGAGGCGGCCGUCGUGCCGAGGGAGACUGCUGGCGCGGCUGCGGCCUCGAGCCCACCAGACGUGUUGGCGGUGUUGGCACCGGCUGCUGCCGAGGUUGUUGUCGUUCUGGCCGUGGAGCCGCCCGUCGCCGCCGAUGCUGAGAUGGCCGAGGCGCCGCUACUCGAUGCCUCGGAGGAGGGGGGCGCAGAACCGCGACCCAUCCUGGGGAGCGGCAACCUCGUCCUCGCGCGGUGCAGUCCUGACGGGCGGCGUCAGUCGCUCUGGUUCUGGACCAGUGGUGCUUCGGAUCCCCUCUUCGUUCUUGACGAUGAGCGAGAGGAGCAGUCUUGGGACAGGCUUCGUGAGUGUGCCGAGGCAACGGUGGUGUCGCUUCGGUCGACCUUGGAGGUCCUUUGCAGGGACGUUCCCAAGGUCCUCCAGGUAAGGAUUUCAUGCAUACCUUUCACGUGAUCAAGGCAUUCUUUGUGACGUCCCGCUUCCUUUCCUCAGGAUCUGACGGAUCUGAGCGCCGCCAAGUCAUCAUUCAUCCGCCGUGAGGCCGAUGUCUGGGGUUCGUUGCGGUUCCUGAGGACCACGCUUGCCGAGGCUACCGAGCGCCUCUCCCAAUGGAGACCGAGGUGGCGGACCUUCGGUUGCUCUGUGUCGAUCUGGGAGCGGAGGCAACGGCGGCACGUGCAGAGGCGCAGCGGCAACAGUUGGAGCUUGUCCAGGUCAUCGGUGAGCGGGACCAAUCUCGGGGCCGGGCCGCCGAGGCUGAAAGCCAGGCUGAGGCCCUUGGAGACCAGCUAGCCGAGGCGUCUACUCGGGCCGGAGCCCUUGCGGAAGACCUAGCCGUGGCCCAAGCCGCAUCCUCGGAGCAGCGUGCCCGAGCCGAAGGUAUGUCUUGGCUGUUUUAAGAUUUUGAUUCAGCUUUAUUCUUCAACUCGUGUUUGAAGACUUCUGCUUUGGCUGUUUGCAGAGCUCGAGUCUGCCCUCGAUGAGUCCACCAAGGCACUUGCCCAGGCGGCCGAGCAGAGGCAGGCCGACCACAUGGCCAUGUCCGAGGCUAUCUCGUCCUUCUGUCGGGUCUUUGGUCUCGACGACGUCCCCUCGGGGAGCUCCCCUCAGAGUCGCCUGCGGGCCUUGGGUGACUACGCACGCGACAGACUCCGCGAGGCGCUGCAUCACGAUGUCAGGCGGGCCUUCGCCGUGCUCGCUUCCCACUACGACGUGGAUCUGUAGCGGGUCAGCGAGGGGUAUUGCCUUCCUGACGAAGAUGAAGCUGCCCUGGCCGAAGUCUAGAGGUUUGAUGUGGCCGCCGCGGGCCCAAGCGCGGUGCUGGCGACCACCUUCGAAGCAGAGAUCCUUCCGCUUGCGCCGUUGUCCGAGGCCGGGGCGGAUCUCGACGAGGGUGGAAACGAAGCCGAGGGCGUGGCUCCUUCUCUAGGCGACGCCUGAUUCUGUCGGAGCAGUUUAUUUUGAAUGCGUAUGUGUCUUUUGCGGCCACCGAGGCCCGAAUACUUUGUCGUCGUAAUAUAAAGAUGUGUCUCUUUUCCUCCUGUUUUGCGUAUCCGGACUCGUUCGUCAGUAGCAGGAUUGCUUACCCAUGUAAGAGUUAUUUUUCACGGUAGGUGACGAGUGAGGUAUCCGUAUCCCGGAGGCGUAGGAGUCCCUCGGCUCAGUCGGCCUUGCCACUUACAUGCACUCUUAUUCGUUUCUCGGGGUCCUGUUACUGAUAUAGCCGGGAGACAUGAAAGUCGUUUUGGUGGAAGACUUCUUUUGAGGAAAAUUUUGACGCAGAGGUGGUUCGCCCCUUCUAGCCCCCGAGGGAGGGUCGGGCUUUGCCGAGGCAAGGCUGACCCUUCCUUGAUGGUUAGUCUUUGUAUGUAAGCGAGGUAUAUGAACGACUUGAAAAACAUCUUAAGGGUAGAAGCGACAUAGCUGUCGGAUGUUCCAAGCGUUGCUGUAGACCUCGCCUUGACUGUUGGCCAGCUUGUAUGUUCUGGGCUUCAAAAUCUUGGCAAUGAUGAAUGGCCCUUCCCAGGGAGGCGUGAGCUUGUGGCGCUCUCGGGCGUCUUGUCGUAGCCGAAGCACCAACUCGCCCACCUGGAGGUCUCGGGACCGAACCCCUCGGGCGUGGUAGCGUCGCAGGGACUGCUGAUACCGCGCCAAGUGUAGUAAGGCCAUGUCCCGAGCCUCUUCCAGCUGGUCCAGUGAGUCUUCUCGGUUGGUUCGGUUGCUUCGGUCGUCGUACGCCCUCGCCCUCGGGGAUCCGUAUUCCAAGUCCGUGGGCAAGAUGGCCUCGGCCCCAUAGACUAGAAAGAACGGCGUGAAGCCCGUUGCUCGGCUCGGCGUUGUCCUCAGACUCCAGACCACCGAAGGGAGUUCCUUCAUCCAUCGCCUGCCGAACUUGUUGAGGUCAUUGUAGAUCCGCGGCUUGAGUCCUUGCAGAAUCAUGCCGUUGGCACGCUCUACUUGCCCAUUCAUCAUGGGGUGAGCUACGACGGCCCAGUCCACCCGGAUGUGGUGAUCCUCGCAGAAGUCCAGGAACUUUCUGCCGGUGAACUGGGUGCCGUUGUUGGUGAUGAUGGAGUUCGGGACCCCAAAGCGAUGGAUGAUGUUGGUGAAGAACGCCACCGCCUGUUCAGACCUGAUGCUGUUUAGGGGUCUGACCUCGAUCCACUUGGAGAAUUUGUCGAUAGCGACCAUCAAGUGCGUGUAGCCCCCGGGUGCCUUCUGCAAGGGACCGACGAGGUCCAGACCCCACACAGCAAACGGCCAGGUGAUGGGUAUUGUUUGCAGAGCCUGAGCGGGCAGGUGGGUCUGCUUUGCAUAGAAUUGACACCCUUGGCAGGUGCGUACAAUCCUAGUGGCGUCGGCCACCACAGUUGGCCAGUACAAACCCUGCCGGAAUGCGUUUCCAACGAGGGCCCAAGGUGUUGUGUGGUGACCGCAAGCCCCCGAGUGUAUUUCUUGUAAUAACUCUUGACCUUCGGCGAUGGAUAUGAAUCGCUGGAGGAUGCCUGAGGGACUGCGGUGGUAGAGCUCCUUCCCGUCACCCAGCAAGACGAACGACUUGGCGCGCCGCGCCAAUUGCCGAGCUUCGGCUCUGUUGAGGGGUAGCUCUCCUCGGUGGAGAUAUUGCAGGUACGGGGUCUGCCAGUUUCGAUUAGGUGGGACCCCAUUCCGCUCUUCCUCGACGUGCAGUGCCUCACCCUCGGCGGUCGAGGGUGCCUCGGGCUGAGCCGAGGGCACCUCGGGCAGGGCCGAGACCUUCUCGGGCUCGGGCGUGUCAUCGAUCUUGACUAAGGGUUGAUGUAGGUCUUUGGAGAAGACGUCCGGAGGGACCGUUGUCCGCCCCGAGGCUAUCUUAGCCAGCUCGUCCGCGGUCUCGUUGUAUCGUCGGGCGAUGUGGUUGAGUUCGAGCCCGAAGAACUUGUCCUCCAGGCGCCGAACCUCAUCGCAGUAGGCUUCGAUCUUCGGGUCGCGGCAAUGGGAGUUCUUCAUGACUUGGUCGAUGACAAGCUGCGAGUCGCCGCGAGCGUUGAGGCGUCGGACCCCUAGCUCGACGGUGAUACGCAACCCGUUAACCAGAGCCUCGUACUCGGCCAUGUUGUUGGACACCGGGAAAUGGAGGCGCAGCACGUAGCAGAGGUGCUUCCCGAGGGGUGAGACGAAGAGCAGGCCCGUGCCCACUCCUGUCUUCAUCAGCGACCCGUUGAAAAACAUGGUUCAGAGUUUCGGUUGGAUUGGAGCUGCUGGAAGCUGGGUGUCGACCCAUUCAGCCACAAAGUCCGCCAAGACUUGGGACUUGAUGGCCUUCCGAGGGGCGAACGAGAUUGUCUUGCCCAUGAUCUCCACCGCCCACUUUGCAAUCCUACCCGAGGCCUCUCGGCACUGGAUGAUCUCUCCCAGGGGGAAGGAUGACACCACAGUCACCGGAUGAGACUCGAAGUAGUGUCGCAACUUUCGCCGCGUCAGAAUUACCGCGUAUAGUAGCUUCUGAAUUUGCGAGUAGCGGAUUUUGGUCUCGGACAGUACUUCACUGAUGAAGUAGACCGGCCUCUGGAUGGGCAAUGCGUGCCCCUCUUCUCGUCUCUCGACCAUGAUCGCGGCGCUGACCACAUGAGUGGUAGCGGCGACGUAGAUCAAGAGGGCUUCUCCAGCAGCGGGGGGCACCAAGAUGGGCGCGCUUGUAAGGAGCGUCUUUAGGUUCCCGAGGGCUUCCUCGACCUCGGAGGUCCAAGUGAAGCGCUCGGUCUUCCUUGAGAGGCGGUACAGAGGUAGGCCUCUUUCGCCGAGGCGCGAGAUGAAGCGGCUCAGAGCCGCAAGGCAUCCCAUAACCCUCUGUACUCCUUUCAAGUCCUUGAUGGGCCCCAUGUUGGUGAUGGCCGCGAUUUUCUCCGGGUUGGCCUCGAUGCCCCGCUCGGAGACGACGAACCCCAGGAGCAUGCCUCGGGGGACUCCGAAGACACACUUCUCGGGAUUGAGUUUUACGCCUUUCGCCUUGAGACACUUGAAUGUCGUUUCAAGGUCGGAGAGGAGGUCAGAGGUCUUCCUCAUCUUGACUACGAUGUCAUCGACGUAAGCCUCGACCGUUCGGCCAAUGUGUUCUCUGAACACGUGGUUCAUGCACCUUUGGUAUGUUGCACCCUCAUUCCUCAAACCGAAUGGCAUAGUAAUGUAGCAGUACAUGCCAAAGGGUGUGAUGGAAGAAGUCGCGAGCUGGUCGGACUCUUUCAUCCUGAUUUGGUGAUACCCUGAGUAGGCAUCGAGGAAAGACAGGGUUUCGCACCCAGCAGUGGAAUCCACGAUUUGAUCAAUGCGAGGCAAAGGGUAGGGAACCUUCGGAGAUGCUUUGUUUAGACCAGUGUAGUCUACACACAUCCGCCAUUUCCCUCCUUUCUUUCUCACAAGCACAGGGUUGGCAAGCCAUUCGGGAUGGAAUACCUCUUUGAUGAACCCUGCAACCAUUAGCUUGUGGAUCUCCUCGCCUAUGGCUCUGCGCUUUUCUUCGUCGAAUCGGCGCAGAGGCUGCUUCACGGGUCGGGCUCCAGCUCGGAUAUCCAGCGAGUGCUCGGCGACAUCCCUCGGUAUGCCAGGCAUGUCCGAGGGGCUCCACGCAAAAACUUCGGCGUUUGCACGGAGAAAGUCGACGAGCACUGCUUCCUAUUUGGGGUUGAGCUCGGAGCCGAUCCGGAUCUACUUGGAGGCGUCGUUGCUGGGGUCGAGAGGGACAGACUUAACCGUCUCAGCUGGCUCGAAGUUGCCGGCGUGGUGCUUCGCAUCUGGCGCCUCCUUGGAGAGGCUCUCCAGGUCGGCGAUGAGGGCCUAGGAUUCGGCGAGGGCCUCGACGUACUCCACGCACUCCACGUCGCAUUCGUACGCGUGUCGGUACGUGGAGCCGACGGUGAUGACCCCGUUGGAGCCUGACAUCUUGAGCUUGAGGUAGGUGUAGUUGGGGACAGCCAUGAACUUGGCGUACCAUGGCCUCCCCGGCACUGCGUGGUAGGUUCCUCGGAACCCGACCACCUCGAACGUGAGGGUUUCCUUUCGGAAGUUGGAGGGAGUCCCGAAGCAUACGGGCAGAUCGAGUUGCCCGAGGGGUUGGACGAGGGGAUGAUCCCGUGAAAAGGCGCCGCGCCGGCCCUGAUUGAGGACAGAUCGAUCUGCAGGAGCCCGAGGGUCUCGGUGUAGAUGAUGUUGAGGUUGCUGCCUCCAUCCAUGAGGACCUUGGCGAGCCUGACGUUGCCGAUGACGGGAUCGACAACGAGCGGGUACUUUCCUGGGCUCGGCACGCGGUCGGGGUGGUCACCCUGGUCGAAGGUGAUGGGCUUGUCCGACCAGUCUAGGUAGACUAGCGCCGCCACCUUUACCGAGCAGACCUCCCGGCGCUCUUGCUUGCGGUGCCGAGCCGAGGCGUUCGCCACAUGCCCACCGUAGAUCAUGAAGCAGUCGUGGACCUCGGGGAACUCCUCUGCCUUGUGAUCCUCCUUCUUAUCGUUGUUGUGGGCUCGGCCACAUUCCGCCGGUGGCCCGACCCUGUGGAAGUAGCGCCGAAGCAUGACGCACUCCUCAAGGGUGUGCUUGACGGGACCCUGAUGAUAGGGGCACGACUCCUUGAGCAUCUUGUCGAACAGGUUGGCGCCUCCGGGAGGCUUCCGAGGGUUCCUGUGCUCGGCGGCGGCGAUAAGGUCUGCGUCGGCGGCGUCGCGUUUCGCUUGUGACUUCUUCUUGCCCUUCUUCCUCUCUUCCGGCUGGCGCCCCUGAGGCUGCUUGUCCUUCCGGAAGAUGGCCUCGAUCGCCUCCUGACCAGAGGCGAACUUGGUGGCGAUGUCCAUCAGCUCGCUCGCCCUGGUGGGAGUCUUGCGACCCAGCUUGCUCACCAGGUCGCGGCAAGUGGUGCCGGCGAGGAAAGCGCCGAUGACGUCCGAGUCGGUGAUGUUGGCCAGCUCGGUGCGCUGCUUCGAAAAUCGCUGGAUGUAGUCCCUCAGGGACUCUCCCGGCUGCUGGCGGCAGCUUCGGAGAUCCCAGGAGUUUCCAGGGCGCACGUAUGUGCCCUGGAAGUUGCUGGGGAAGGCUUUGACCAGGUCGUCCCAGUUGGAGAUCUGCGCAGGAGGCAGAUGCUCCAGCCAGGCUCGGGCGGCGUUGGAGAGGAAUAGGGAAAGUUGCGGAUGAUGAGAUUGUCAUCGUCCGUCCCACCCAGUUGGCAGGCCAGCCGGUAGUCCGUGAGCCACAGCUCCGGCUUUGACUCCCCCGAGUACUUGGUGAUGGUAGUCGGGGUUCGGAACCGGGUCGGGAACGGUGCCCGUCGUAUGGCCCGGCUGAAAGCUCGCGGACCGGGUGGUUCGGGCGAGGGGCUCCGAUCCUCCCCGCUGUCGUAGCAUCCCCCAUGCCUGGGGUGGUAGCCUCGGCGCACCUUCUCGUCGAGGUGGGCUCGACGGUCGCGGCGGUGGUGCUCGUUGCCGAGGCGACCCGGGGCCACAUGCGCUGAGUUCCGCGUUCGCCCCGUGUGGACCGAGGCUUCUCGCAUGAAUCGGGAAGCCGCGGCGCGAUGCUCCGGGGGGUACCCCUGCCUUCGGGAGGCAGAGCUCUCGGCCCGUUGGACCGCGGCAUCUUCCAGGAGAUUCUUGAGCUCUCCCUGGAUACGCCGCCCCUCGGUGGUGGAUGGUUUCGGCAUCGCUCGGAGUAGUAUCGCUGCUGCAGCCAGGUUCUGGCCGACCCCACUGGAAGCCGGGGGCAGCCUUGCCCUGGCAUCGUCGGCGAUGCAGUGCUGGACGUCCUGGGCCAGAUGACGCGCUUCUCCGGCCGGUACUCGGCCUGCCCACUCCUACCCGAUAUUUUGCCGAAACUGCACAAGUUGUCCUGCUUCUUCGUCGAGCCUGGCCUGUACCUCGCGGAUUUGCUCGAGCUGUGCGUCCUGACCCCCCGCAGGGACUGGGACCACAGCUAGCUCUCAAAGGAUGUCAACGCGAGGCGUAGGCCUAGGGGGAUCACCGUCCUCCGGCAUACCAAGAUGGUUGCCUUCGUCGAGACCCCCUAGAUCGACGUGAAAGCAUUCGCGACUUGGGCCACAGUCCUCGUCGCCGAGGCUGUGGCUGCUAUCGGAGCAAUCAGAGAGGCAGUAGUCACAUGCGGUCAUGAAGUCCCGCAUGGCACUGGGGUUAUCGAGCCCGGAGAAAUCCCAACCAGAGUCGGGCUCGUCAUCUUCCUCGGAACCCAGAGGUCUGUAGGUCGAGACGGCCGUCAACCGGUCCCAGGGUGACUGCAUAUGAUACCCAGGAGGGUUUGGACAUGCCUUUAUGAAAGCGUCUACCGAAGCGGGGUCGCUUGGUGGGUCGCAGCUAAAUCUAAAAGGCAUGGGACGGGAAACGGACGGUACCUCUCGAUCGACGUGCGGUGACGAAGUCACGUCGGGGACGGACUGCACCGUUGUCUCAGGUACGAGGCUGACACCCAGCAAGUCCUUCGCGAGCGUGCUGGCGUCGUCCGUCUGCUUGGGGUUGGCAUGUUGCGGGGAAACGACGCUCGUCUUCGUCUCAGACGCGAUGUCAACGCCCGACGUGUCCCCCGUUGGGGCGCCGGCGUCGUCGACUCGCUCGACAGCCGACGAGGUGUCGCGUCCUGCUUGGCCAUGCCUGCCCCGCCUCCUCCUCUGUCGGCGGGGAAGGUGACGGGACAGACCCGGAUGUUGCUCUUCCGUCACGUGGGGAAGACGUCGUUAAUUCCGCCGCCGGCGGGCGGGCUGACGGCCGCCAUUGUCGUUGUCGCGCGGCGGAGGAAGGAGUAUCAUGUCGUAGCUGCCGUCGAGGGACAUGAACUCAAGACUCCCGAAACGAAGCAUCGUCCCGGGUUGGAGAGGUUGCUGGAGACUGUAAUACCCAAAAUUAUAAAUCAAAUAAAAGGAGGUAGUCAUUCCUAAAUAAUAUUCCUCCCUUAUGAUAUCAUAUGUGAAUGACCUUAUUUAAGUGAGUACUUAAAGUAAUGCCAUCUAAAAAAAUAUAAUUUGUGCAUCAUGCCGAGGUUUAUUUGUUUGUGCAUUCACUCAUGAAGACAGUGAUAAUAGAAAAAAAACAAAAGUGAAAAUGUGCAUUAAACCAAAUUUGGAGUUUGGAUUUUGAGUGUGUUUUCUGAUUAAUUUGAAGUUUAAAUUUGAAUCUAGAAUAAAAAUUGAAUUUGAAAAUGUUCAGAAUAAAUAGAAAUGGGUACAGAAUUGCAUGUAAUGUAUUCCCUUGUUUAUUUACCAUAUAAAACUUCCAUGAUCAAGUGAUUAACUCAAUUAAAAAUAUGAGAAACCAAAUAAAUUUGUGCACAUCAUACUGAUAUUUGGUUGGUGUGGCAUUUUGUUUGGAAUUCAAGGAUCAAAACCUUAACUGAAUUUUAAAAUAAUGGAAAUACAAACUGAAAAGAAAAUACAAGAAUGAGAACUCCCAGCCGGCCUCACCUUUUUCGUUUUUUUUUCUUUUCAUUUCUUUUUUUCCCUCUGGCCGGCCAUGCGCAUGCGCUACACUGUUGGAGAAUCUUUCACAGGAGCGCUGCAUGCGGAACCUCGAGGUCCUCCUCACGCACCAGCCAUUUCCUCCACUCGCUACGGAGUCUGUGGUGCAUGCGCUCGCCUCUUCUCUUGCGCAUUGCCCAGUAUACAGGUUCAUGCGUGAUGCCGCCCGGUGGACCCCUCCCCAUCUCGCAUGCAUCGUCUCCGCCGCGAAGCCGCGCGUAACUGAAUUAGCGUCUUUGCGGGGUCCGCUCGGCUGUGAAACUGAACCCCGCUUUAGCCGCCUGGGCGCUCACCUGGUCCGUUCGGUAGAUGAGGUCUACCGUGAUUCUCGGACGUCAGCUCACCCUGCGGCUAUAAAGCCAUGCCAUCUCCCCAGCGAUCACCCCCAUGGCGAGCACUCUGCAGAGCCUGGGCUUCUUCGUCGUACGCCGGCGUCCCUGCUAGUGCCUGCCGUUGAACUCUCCGGCCACCAUUGAUCCGACCUCCCCUAAGCCAUCGAUGAGUAGAGAAAAACAGUGAACGCCACCUCUGUACUCGCCCCACCUUAUGGCGCGUCGCUCCUGCAGUACCGGCCCACGCUCUGCGCGGCGCUCAGGUGUUACGGCUGCCCUCAAAUCCGUCGUCGGACCAUUGGCACUGGGGCAAGCAAAAGCACGGACAGGUGCUCGGCGUGCUGCAACGGCUUCCGAUUUGCCCGGCUAGAUGAAAGACGGCUGGGGAGCAUCUUCUCUGGGGAACACCGCGCGUCAUGGGUGCCUUGCCGAAGUUCAGGGACGGCGUGAUUGCUCAUCGUCGUUCAUGCUCCACCGUGGCGCCACCCAUCUCCGUGGGCAGUGGGCUGCAUCGUCCAAUCGACCGGUGAGUGGCCUGUAACGAGUUCGUUGUGCUCUCGGCUUCAUAUUUCCAUCAACCAACAUCAGAAAUCGCGUGUGUUGCACCAAGAUUGGUCCUCUCUAGUCCUGGCUACCACCGUGGUGGCUCUGUGCGCCGCCGAAUAGAUGACCAGGGGAGGAAGAAAGGGGUGAGUCCGUUGGAUUUCGAUCCAGCGACUAAUAUUAGAUCGGGUUAAAAUUAGAUGUGGUUCGUUCGAUCUAAAUGGACGGGCGGGAUUUUAAGUAGCAUCCCCUUCGCUUGAUUAAAUCAUAGCCGUCGAAGUUCGAUCUGGCGGCCGCGAGGUGAAUUGCGCGCGUUAAACCGAGACCCUUGGAUUUAGAUCCGAUGGUUUAGAUCGCAUUCCGGAUCGGCUGAUUGCGGAUCUAAUCCUAGCGGCCAGAUGUUGAUCGUGCGGCCAGGAACGCAGAAUACCCCUUCGCCGUGCCUAUUUGAUAAAGAGUCCCUGGACUUCUUAGUAAUAAACCCGCGGUCCACAGUGGCUGUGCGCUGAGUCUAGUAAUUCUUGCGUAGAGACCCCUAUAUUUAUCUGUUUUUGUGCGCGCAGUCCAAACAGAGAUUAAAUCAGGAAAUUAAUUUAAGAAAUGAAUUUUUAAUAUGAAAACAAUUCCAGAACUUGUAAAAUUCAUAUAAAAUUUAUUUUAACUCAUUUUUAACCCAUUCCAGUUCCUAUAAUUUGGUAAUAUUAUUGUUUAUCACCUAGUGCCACUGUUUUAGCAUGAAAACUAUAUUAAAUUUGAUCACCUAGUUAUUCUCGUACCAAACACAUAAAAUCUUCAAAAAAUCGUAACUUCUCCGUUUUGAUUCCGAUUUGUUCCGUUCCAGUUGCGUUAGUCUCAUAGAAACGCGUAGAUCAUUAUUAUUCAGUAUAUUCUUAUGUUUGGUGUAAUGUUAAUUUUAUCUAUACCAUGUUUGUUUGUAUUGCUACGACUAGCGCGAGGACACGUGUCAUCUGAAAAGCAAGUUGGUACCUGAAAUCUCAAGUGCCAGGCAAGUUGUGCCCUUGAUCACUUCUUUUACCCACUCAUGUUCUAAUUAAUCAUAAUGAUCUGCAUAGGUUAAUUUUGAUGGGACCUAAUAGGAUACCCUAGUUUGUCUAUCUUUAUGCCUUGUUUACCACUGAACUUUUUGGGUAGUACUUGCUAGUGCUAUAUGUGGUUUUGGGCAUUGAGAUACACAUUAUUCAUGAUUAUACUUUUGUUAUCCGUUGUUAUUUACUGUUCAUGUCAAGAUCAUUAAUGUUAAUUGGAACAUAGAGCUUAACUUGAGAAACACGUGCCACCACAAGGGUUUAUGGACGCCCUUGGCUGAUUAAUUAGGAAAGCUAGUGGAGGACUACCUUACCCGAAAGGGGCAAGGGCAGUAGGGGAGUGGUCAGUGUAGGGAGGCCCUCGGGAGGAUUUUGCUGCGAUGGCGGUCCUGCAAGGGAUUCCUGCAUUGGAGCUUCCCAUAAACUGUAGCGGGUUUUCUGAAGCUAGUGGAACUUUGUAAAGGCCUCGUAGUGUUACCCUGCCUCGCCUCCUCGGUAGAGGUGUAUGGGAAGUCGCGAUCCCUUGGCAGAUGGGUAACAUGACUUGUGGGUAAAGGGUACCACCUCUGCAGAGUGUAAAACUGGUAUACUAGCCGAGCUCACGGUCAUGAGCAGCUCAGGACUCUCUGAUGAUUAAUCUAUGGAACUUAAAUUCAAUUUGUCAUAUGCAUUGCAUCGCAGGUGAUGUUGUUACUUCUGUUCUACUACUUAAUUGGGUUGGUAUUUACUUAUACUUAGUAAUUGCUAAUAAAAUUUUGACCAACUUUAAAAGCAAUGCUCAGCUUCAACCAUCUCUGUUGGUAAGCCUUACACUUCACGUGAGCUCCCACCUUUGGCGAGUUCAUGCACAUUAUUCCCCACAACUUGUUGAGCGAUGAACGUAUGUGAGCUCACUCUUGCUGUCUCACACCCCCCCACAGGUCAAGAUCAGGUACUGCAGGAUGAGGCGCAUGGUGGAUGCUGUGAUGAGUUCGUGAGUGGUCUAGGCCGUCGUCUCCCAGUCAACUUUGGUUUGCUGGACCGUUGUCUCCUUAUAAUGUAAUUAUUUAUUUUGUAUAUAACUCCGAUUAUAUAGUAAAGAUGUGACAUUCGAUCCUGUGCCAUGAUUCAUCAUAUGUGUGAGACUUGGUCCCAGCACACCUGGUGAUUAUGUUCGCGCCCGGGCUUUGGACCCCUAAAACCCGGGUGUGACAGAAGUGGUAUCAGAGGAAUGUUGACUGUAGGACAAAACCUAGAUAGAACUGGACAACCAUUGUCUACUUACCUUUGCUACUCUGAUCUUUUCUAAACUUUCCUUAAUAUUUUCUCAUAUAUUUCCGCUUUACUCUGAUUAUUUUUACCUUUCUUUCUAAAAGACAAAUGUGGAUUUCACACUUUGAAAUCCUGUGCAUAAAAUGACCUUUAGGAAUAGGAGACCUAAUCUUAGGGACAAAAGCAAAACUAUUUUGUAGAUAUUGGUAUGCUUGAGUGUUUGUUCUUAUGAUACUUGUCUGAUUUGGAUCUUUGAUUGAGUGGGAUGAAUUGUGGAGUAGUGUCCACAAUUGCAUCUACAUAUACUUAGGCAUAUAUAUAAUUAAUCAAACUUAGAUUGUCCCUCAUUAAAAAAAAUGUAUCUAGCUUAAUAGAUCCACCUUAUUUUAAAAGAUACUCGCUUACCUAAAUAAAUUCAUCUUAUCUUGAAAAGAUUUAUCUUAUCCUAAUAGAUCUAUAUGACCUCAAAAGAUUCUACCUUAUCCUUAUGGAUUCAUCUUACCCCAAUAAGCAUAUUUAUCCCACGCUAGUGUAACAACCAUGAUCUAGCCUAAAAUAAAUAAGAUCUUAUCUAGUCAAACUAGUAACACCAAUCUAACCUAGAUCUGAUCUAAUCUAAAGUGACUUAUCAAACAUGUUAGAUAAUACUGAUGAAAUAGAUUAGACUCUACUCCUAUAGAACGGGUCUUACCUUAGUUCACCUUGCACUAAAUUAAGAAUGACAGAUCGACUUGGCCAAAUGCAACUACCAUCCAAUAGUUGCAUAACCCCACAAUUUUAACCUAGCAAGAGAUUCUAACCUACCUACACCAUACAAUCCAUCCUACUCACAUAUGUCCUAGCCAUAUGUCCUCGGAAGACAACUCCAAGAAAUAAAGGCCAAAGAAGACCAACCAUGUCAAAGAAGGAUAAGCAUCAACUCAAGACUUCAAAGAUCAAGUUGAAUCGCCAGCGGAAUCAAGAUCCAUAGUUUAGGAUGAAGUCUUUCCUUAUUAUCCCCUUGCCACAACCUCUACUUGCCAUAACCGUACCUGACCUAAUGAAUAUCUAAACAUACAAUAUUCAUAUCAUCUACUAACUGUUAAAAAAAAACUUGAACAAAACUUUGAUUCCCAAAACCAAAUGAGAAACUAAAAUUCUAGACCAAACCUAUUAUAUCCCUUUUCUUACAAAUCUCGAGGACGAGAUUAUUUUUAAGGGGGGUAGGAUUUGUAAUACCCAAAAUUAUAAAUCAAAUAAAAGGAGGUAGUCAUUCCUAAAUAAUAUUCCUCCCUUAUGAUAUCAUAUGUGAACGACCUUAUUUAAGUGAGUACUUAAAGUAAUGCCAUCUAAAAAAAUAUAAUUUGUGCAUCAUGCCGAGGUUUAUUUGUUUGUGCAUUCACUCAUGAAGACAGUGAUAAUAGAAAAAAAACAAAAGUGAAAAUGUGCAUUAAACCAAAUUUGGAGUUUGGAUUUUGAGUGUGUUUUCUGAUUAAUUUGAAGUUUAAAUUUGAAUCUAGAAUAAAAAUUGAAUUUGAAAAUGUUCAGAAUAAAUAGAAAUGGGUACAGAAUUGCAUGUAAUGUAUUCCCUUGUUUAUUUACCAUAUAAAACUUCCAUGAUCAAGUGAUUAACUCAAUUAAAAAUAUGAGAAACCAAAUAAAUUUGUGCACAUCAUACUGAUAUUUGGUUGGUGUGGCAUUUUGUUUGGAAUUCAAGGAUCAAAACCUUAACUGAAUUUUAAAAUAAUGGAAAUACAAACUGAAAAGAAAAUACAAGAAUGAGAACUCCCAGCCGGCCUCACCUUUUUCGUUUUUUUUUCUUUUCAUUUCUUUUUUUCCCUCUGGCCGGCCAUGCGCAUGCGCUACACUGUUGGAGAAUCUUUCACAGGAGCGCUGCAUGCGGAACCUCGAGGUCCUCCUCACGCACCAGCCAUUUCCUCCACUCGCUACGGAGUCUGUGGUGCAUGCGCUCGCCUCUUCUCUUGCGCAUUGCCCAGUAUACAGGUUCAUGCGUGAUGCCGCCCGGUGGACCCCUCCCCAUCUCGCAUGCAUCGUCUCCGCCGCGAAGCCGCGCGUAACUGAAUUAGCGUCUUUGCGGGGUCCGCUCGGCUGUGAAACUGAACCCCGCUUUAGCCGCCUGGGCGCUCACCUGGUCCGUUCGGUAGAUGAGGUCUACCGUGAUUCUCGGACGUCAGCUCACCCUGCGGCUAUAAAGCCAUGCCAUCUCCCCAGCGAUCACCCCCAUGGCGAGCACUCUGCAGAGCCUGGGCUUCUUCGUCGUACGCCGGCGUCCCUGCUAGUGCCUGCCGUUGAACUCUCCGGCCACCAUUGAUCCGACCUCCCCUAAGCCAUCGAUGAGUAGAGAAAAACAGUGAACGCCACCUCUGUACUCGCCCCACCUUAUGGCGUGUCGCUCCUGCAGUACCGGCCCACGCUCUGCGCGGCGCUCAGGUGUUACGGUUGCCCUCAAAUCCGUCGUCGGACCAUUGGCACUGGGGCAAGCAAAAGCACGGACAGGUGCUCGGCGUGCUGCAACGGCUUCCGAUUUGCCCGGCUAGAUGAAAGACGGCUGGGGAGCAUCUUCUCUGGGGAACACCGCGCGUCAUGGGUGCCUUGCCGAAGUUCAGGGACGGCGUGAUUGCUCAUCGUCGUUCAUGCUCCACCGUGGCGCCACCCAUCUCCGUGGGCAGUGGGCUGCAUCGUCCAAUCGACCGGUGAGUGGCCUGUAACGAGUUCGUUGUGCUCUCGGCUUCAUAUUUCCAUCAACCAACAUCAGAAAUCGCGUGUGUUGCACCAAGAUUGGUCC